rnacentral:lncRNA from 1 species
AGCCACCACCAAACCCAAAGCCGCCACGGAAGAAUUACAAGACUCCCAAGGCGCGGAGGACGGUAAUGGAGGCAGCUGGCUUUGAUUCUGAUGGCAGAGAAUUCAAGAACGCACAGGAAAUGUGGAGGGAGCAAAUUGGAGAUGCAGAUGAAGGAGAUAACCAUAAGAAGACUCAGUGGUACCGUGAAGGCGUUGCCUAUUGGGAAGUAAGUCUUUCUUAACUCUGGUUCUUACAUUUGUAUGUGGGUACCAUUACCGAACUCAUAAUAUAGUUAUUGGUUUCUUUGGUUGUGCUAAGAGAAGGGUGUGGAGGCAUCGGUAGAUGGGGUGUUGGGUGGAUUUGGGCAAGUAAAUGAGGCAGAUGUCAAGGGUAGUGAGGUUUUUCUCAAUACCCUUUUGCAUGAAAGAUUCGAUGGCGGUGGAAGAAAUCAGCAUCUUGUUGCUCUUGGUACUUCUCUUUCUCUCUCUGUGUGCUUAACUUUAUAUUGUUUUUAUGAAGUUAUAUACCCAUAUAUGUUCUGUUGAGGUAGUUUGGUUUAUGUUAUUAUUAUUAUUUUUUUACACUAAGAAUCAACCUUAGGUUAUUAUGCGCCAUUAAAUGUGGAAGUGCAAAGUUGGUAAUGGGAUCCUACUUCGUUAGAAUGAGCAUUGGUGGAAAACCUAAUUAACUCUAAAUUAAACAAAAAAACAUAGUGGUGGCAGCAGAUAGGGAUGGUGUGAUGGAUGAAAUUUUGAGUUAAAUAUCUGCAAUUAGGGCCUGAAACUGGAAACCAAGAUGGCUUGAUAACACAACCAUGAAAAGUUUUUGUCCCAUAAUCCCACCCCAUGAAAGAAAAUAAAUAAAUAAAGAAAUGAAAGGCAUGGAAAUUUGCAUGAAUAUGCAUUUUCUGAAUUAUUUUGCAUGAUCUCUUCACCAAAAAUCAGUCUCAGUUGUGCAAGAAGCAUGUCAUGCAUUAGAGGUGUUGCUUUGAUUUAGAAUGCCAGCGUUAUAGGUGUUGCUCUUAUUUAGAAUGCCAUAAUGCAAUUGAGAAUUGGGUUUACUACAUGCUAUUUUGCUUAAUAAAAAACCAUCUUUAAGCAAUAUUCUUUUUUAAAUUUGGGAAGAAGCUUGCUGGGAGUUCUCUCUCUGUCCCUUAAGGGUUGUGUGCUCGUGGGGGGUGGGGGUUGGGGCACCCCUGGACCCAAUUUGAGACUGUUGUGAGUACUCAGAAUAAAGGAAAGAAAUUUCUGUGUUUAAGAUUGAAAAAUCACUUUCACAUUACAUCAGCAGCGAAGAUGCUUUAUCUUGCUAAUAUUCUGGAACUUGUUAUCCUUUGAAAGGCAAAAAUUAGAUAUGUCUUCAGUAUGUUUUAUUACUAGGAGAUUGAUUCUUCGACAUGAGUAGGAUCUAUAAUUGCCUAUAUAUGAAGUUGGUCUUAAUACUUGUGAGUUGGUGGACUAUACUGGGGCAAUUAACUGAAAUCUUGCGAAGGGGAAUUGUAGGGGAAAUUAUUUAGGAAACUAAGCAGUUGGAGUUUGGCUUUAAUGUAAAGAUAUUUAGGUAACUAAGCAGUAAUGGUUUGGCUUUAAUAUGAAGAUAAUUAAGUGAUUUCCACAAGUUUUAUUAUAAGUAAUAUGAUAUAAGAUGCACUUAAGCACUUGGCUUUAUGAUUUGUGCAUGUAUCCCCUGCUAAAAGAGCUGGGUUUAAUUACCCUCCCCUAAUAAAAUAAAAUAAAACAUGAUAAUUGAUGGUUGUGCCCUCAAACUUUUGCCUUCAUAUGGUUUAUGUUGGUGGAAUUAAAACAAACUCUUUUGAUGAUCUUAGUGCAGAAGAAUCUGGUACAUUUUAGGGCUUAGCAUACUAAAUUAAACUAUGUCAUAAUUCUCAAAACACUGCAUUGCUGACCUUAUUUCAAGUCCAUACAUUUAAGCACUAGAAAUACCUGCAAAUGGUUCUAAAGCAUACUUAAAAUAUUGCUGCAGUACUGAUCUGUUUGGUAUUUCAUUUUUCUUGAUGUUUUUAAUUCUAAUUGAAAAUCAUAAAUCUAGUUGACAUUCUGAGCUCUUAGUUUCUAUGUUAAUUUAACAUACUGCAGAUUGUGGUUCUGGCAUAGGGAGAAUAACCAAGAAUCUUCUCAUAAGAUAUUUUAACGAGGUAAGGUCAUUUUUCUCUUUCUAUUAGUUUAUUUUCAAUAUUCCUGACAUUUACCAUCUUUGCAGUUAAUUGAUAACAUGGUUCAUAGUGCAUAAUUUUUACUACCUAAAGAAUUUCUCUGUUGUAUUUGAAUGAAAAGCAAAAUUGGGCAGUGCCUUUUAAAAAAUUCAUGCAGGACAUAAGGAGGGUACCCAUUAAUUUCAAGGUACCUAAACCCUAACCCUAUAAAAAAUCAAAUACCUGAACCCUAUUAAUUACCUGAAUAAUUUUGAAAGUUAAUACCCUAACCCUAACCUCAACCCUAAUACAUUCCCACUACCUUAGAGUUACCCUAACCCGUUUAAAAACCCGAUUAGAUAAAAAAUUUAUUAAAAUGUUUUUCAUAAGUACACAAUUACCCAAACCCGAACCUGUAUCCAUAUACAAUAAUAUUUCUCCUAAAUAUUUCAUAUAAUUAACUACUAAUAAAAUUAAUAAAAACACAAAUAAUAAAAUUUAAAUUUAAAUAAUCAAAAACUAUAAAGUGUGUUUAUAAAUGAACAUAAUAUAUAAUAUAAAUCAAUAUUAUUUUAUUAUUUAGUAAUUAUUAACUUAUAUAAUAGUAAUUAUAUUCUUUAUAAAUGAACAUAAUAUAUAAUAUAAAUUAUAUGUAUUAAAAGACAUUACAAGUUAUAUACUAUAAAGUGUGUAUAUAUAUAUAUUAUAAUUAAUAAUUUUAUAAGUUAUAAUUUUUAUAAUGUUAACACAAAAUAAAAAUUAAAUAUAUUUAUAUUUAAAGUAUAUAUAUAUUAAAUUAUAUAUAUAUUAAAAGUAUUUUAGUGUAUAAUUAAUAGUAUUAUAUUUUUAUAAAUGAACUCAAUAUAUAUUAAAAAGACAUUACAAGUUAAUUAAUAAUAAUAAUUUCAUUAAUUAAUUUAAUUAAUUAUAUGAGUUUGUCCUUAAUUAUAAGAAAUUAAAAAAAAAUAGCUAAGUUUCAAAACUAUUCUAAUCUUACAACUUCUUUUUAGAUAAUUAAGUUUAUAUAUUAUAAGUUUAUAUAAAUAAAGUAUAUAUAUUAUAAUUAAUAAUUAAUUUAUAAGUUAUAAUUUUUUUAAUAUUAACACAAAAUAGAAAGUAAAUAUGAUUAUAUUUAAAGUGUGUAUAUAUAUACACACACUAUAAGUGUUUUAUUAUAUGUAUAAUAAUAAUUAUAUUUUUUAUAAAUGAACUCAAUAUAUGUAAAGUAAAUAUAUUAAAAGACAUUAUAAGGUAAUUAAUAAUCAUAGUUUUAUGAAUUAAUUUAAUUAACUAUAUGAGUUUGUCCUUAACUAUAUGAAAUUAAAAAAAAUAACUAGGUCUCAAAACUAUUCUAAUCUCACAACUUCUCUUAAGCUUUGUGUAUUAUAAGUUUAUAUAAACAAAGGUGUAUAUAUUAUAAUUAAUAAUUUUAUAAGUUAUAAUUUUUGUAAUGUUAAUAUAAAGUAGAAAGUAAAUAUAUUUAUAUUUAAAGUAUAUAUAUACUAAAAGUAUUAGUAUAUAUAUAAUACAGUAAUUAUNCUUAUAAAUGAACUCAAUAUAUAUAAAGUGUAUAUAUUAAAAAACAUUAUAAGUUAAUUAAUAAUCAUAGUUUAAUGAUUAAUUUAAUUAACUAUAUGAGUUUGUCUUUAAUUAUAUAAAAUUAAAAAAAAUUGUUAGAUUCCAAAACUAUUCUAAACUCAAAGACUCUCUUUAAGUAUAUAUAUAUAUAUAUAAGUUAUAAUUUUUGUAAUGUUAACACAAAGUAAAAAGUAAAUAUAUUUAUAUUUGAAGUUUAUAUAUAAUAGUAAUUAUAUUCCUUUGUAAUAUGAUAUGAUAUUCAUAUUAUUUAAACAUAAUUAAUAAUCUACUAAUUUUUUAAUUUAAAUAUAUUAAUAUCAUCACAUUAAUAAUUUGAGUAACCAUACUUUUUAGUAUAUUUGUCAACUUUUAAUAAAUAUAUUAAUGUUGAUUAUUUUUAAUUUAAUCAUUUAAAUAACAAUAAAAUAUAUAUAAACAGGUAUUGAGAUCGAGUUUGAGGUGGGUACCCGUGUAACCUGAAUAUUAACAUAAUCGGGUUCAAGUAGCGAGUACCUAAGGGGUGCUACCUGAAGGUUUCUGAAUGAAACCUUCUAAUGACUUUCAAAAAAAAAAAAAAAGAAAAGAAAUCACUAUUCGAACCCGUCCUAAACUUGAUUAUAGGGUAUACUAAUCCGGUAUAACCGGGUUGGAUACUCGUGGGUACCCUAUAAUAGGGUACGCAUUGCCAUCGCUACACAUUAAUAUGUAAUUCCAAUACAGUGAACAUGAUGUGGAACAUGGUGGACUUUUUCUUUUUCCUCUCUUUUUCUUUCAUCGAAUGAUAUGAAUCAGUGUUAUAGUAUUAGUUGGAGCUACUAUCUUAACAAAGCUGCAUAGUACUUUGUGAUAGCUAUGCUUUUUGACCCCUCUUCCCUUUACCAUUCUCUAGGUUGAUCUACUUGAGCCAGUUUCGCAUUUCUUAGAUGCUGCCCGUGAAAGUUUGUCUCAGGAAUAUUUUGUAUCCUCUGAUGCGCACAAAGCAACUAAUUUCUACUGUGUCUCCCUUCAGGUAAUGUACUUCAAGACUACAUUCAUGCAUAGAUACAUGCUUCUUGAUGUCUCGAAGUAUUCAUAACUAUGGUUAAGUCCAUGUAAGCUAUGUAUUUCCAACUUUUCACUUUUCCCUGUAUUGCGGAUGUAGCCAUGUAAUUUACACCUCAAGCAGGCAUGUUGUUUGAGUACAAUCCUGGGAAAACUUACAAAAUUUAAGGUAAACAUGUUAAAUAUGGGUUUGCAUCUGGAACUCACAUUUGAAUCUGGGCAACAUAGUCUGUACUCUGUAGGCGGCUGGAUUCAAGUAAAUUUUUGCAAACAAUUAUUUACUCUUUUGUGUGUGUUGUGGGGGGGGAAGAGGGGACAGCAUAUGGGCUAGUGAAUGAGCCCUUUAAGUUGGUGAUAUAUGUGCUUGUCUUCUUCUGAUGCUUCUGGCUGUUAAAUUUUACUUUAUAAAACAGAAAUUUGACGACCAUUUUUUUUUUGUCUUUUGCUUUUUCAGGAGUUCACCCCUGAUGCUGGAAGGUACAAUGUUAUUUGGAUUCAGUGGUGCAUUGGUCAUCUCACAGAUGAUGACUUUGUCUCAUUUUUUAAGAGAGCAAAGGUGAAUAAAUCUUCUUCUUGAGACAGAACUUACUUUUUAUUUGACAUGUUGUGCUGUGUGGAAGUGCAUUGAAAGAUCAAAAUUAUGUAUUGAAAUUUUCUUGCCUGCUGUCUACUAUACAUUCGAAGUGCCUUGUUCUGAUUUUUGAAUUAUGAACUGUCAGAUCAUUGUAAUGGUAUCUCAAAUUUUCCUUUUCCAAAUUUACUGCUUCUAGCUUUAUCUCUUGUAACUUCUCUUAAACCUUCUCACAGCUAUAGGAAUUAAGGUUGUCUAGAGAACAUAACAUAGCAAAUACCAGAAGGAUGAUAUAGUCAAACUCCUUUUUUCCUUUUUGUUUCUUUUUUAUUUUAAAUUUUUUUUGUGCAAUGUGUCAUGUUGUUCAUUUUAUUCUUCUUCCUGCUAGGUAAUUAGCGGAUUUGAUGGGUUAGUUUGGAGUGUUUGGGCCCAUCCCUAGCACCACGGAAACAAGGCUUGAUAAUACUUUAUAAUUCAUACAGCUAUUUUGCUAUCAUCUGUUUUCUCACCUUACAAAAGCUUGUGACCAAAUUUUGUUGUGCCUUGUGCAUUGAAAUAAGUUUUAAGAAAUGAUGGUAGUUUGACUUUUGUCCUUUAAGUUUGUAAAUGGUGGGAAAUAAAAUUAAAUCUAGAAAGUGCCAUAUUCAUUUCAUGGCCCCUUGAGUCCCUACUCUCCUGCUUCCCUUGCUGCAACCUUUUUAUUUUUUCCAGGUGCUGUUAAGCAUAACCUUUUACACUGCCUUCAAUGUAUUUUCAUCAAAAUUAAGCAAAAUAUAUUAAUAAUAAAAAGCUCCAACAGGGAAAGUCUUGGGCAUGUGUAUGUGUAUGUAAUUUGGAGGCCUGAUCUCUAAGUUGUGUCCUGGAAAGAACCUUGUUGAAAAUUAUUAUUCUUGCAUAUAUGAUUUAAAAGAUUCUAAUUUGCAUUUUAAUUUGAUAUUAAUUUGUUGAUUCCAGGUAGGCCUUAAACCUGGUGGAUUCUUUGUCCUGAAAGAGAACAUUGCUAGAAACGGUAUUGUCUUUAUGACUCUUUGAUUUUUCUAAGCAUGUUUGUUUGCCCUCCCUCCCUCUCUCCCUCCCCUUUUUAAGAAGUGCUCAAGUUUUGUUUAAAGUAUUCCUCAAACUUUCUUAUGUUUUGGUAUUCUGUGGUAAAUUUUCAUAAAGUUGUGUUUUUCUUUUUUGAAAUGCCGCAUGUCAUCUCACGUAUGAGAAGGCAUAAAGUUGCUUUUUUGAGCUGAUAUUACUUUUUAACUUUGUCUUAUUAUGUAAUUAUCUGGCCUCUACAACUUUGAAGUAACAUAAUAGUUAAUAAUAAUAGAUGUUCAAUUAAAAGAUCAAUGGAUAAAGGAAUUUUUAAGCUCCAUUUUCUCGUUCCAUUGCUUGAUACUAAGGGAAGCAGCAAGUUUUUGUUUUAUGCAUUCUGCAAACUUUCUUAUUUUUUGGUAUCCUGCUGAAAAAUUUUCAUAAAGUUGCUUUCUAGAGCUGAUAUUACUGUUUAACUUUGUUUUAUCAUGUAUUCAUCUGCCUGCUACUGCUUUGAAGUAUACUAGUUAAUGUUUUAAAUGUUUAAUUAAGGAUAAAUGAAUAAAGGAAUAUUUAAGCUCCGUUGUCUUGUUUCAUUGCUUGAUACCAAGGGAAACAGCAAAAGUGUUGAAACUUAUAAUUCGCAGGUUCAGGGAUGAGUGUCAUCUACUCAAAUGGGUAUGGGGUAUAAUUUUAGCUACCAAUUUGGGACACCUUUUGGUAACACUGCCUAUGUACAACUUUCUUCAGUGAAAAUUCAUGAAGGAAAGAUGACCUAGUGAUGUAGUGCGGAAGUAGAAACAAUAACAAGAAACCAAAACAGUGAACAAAACCAGAACAAAGGUUAACAUUGAUGUAAAAUCGAAGUAGGAACAAGUUACAAGCCAUUAAGGCCAAUUGUCGAGCAUCUUAAGGUUAAAUAAACAAGUCACUCUCAUCUCAUCUGUAAUAGAUUGAUUCAAACCAGCUAGAUAACAUGAAGUCAACUGCUCAUUAGACUCUUUCAACCCAACCCUAGGGAAAGGUCGUUGAAACCUGAAGUGUACUCCUCAAUGGACAUACUAUUUUGCUUGAGUGAAUGAAAUAUCUCAUUCAACUCCAUUUAAUCAGCUGGCAGAAAUUGCCUCAUCAUCUUCAUUUUCAUGUGUUCCCAAGUGUUGAUUUUUGGCUUGCCUUGAUGUGCUUGCUGCUCUUCAACUCUCUUCCACCAUUGAAGUGCAGUCCCUUCAACUUAAGCUUCACAAACAGUACCUUUCUUUGUUCUGCUAUUGGUUUCUACUAAAAAUAAUUUUACAAACUAGCUUUCUGAUCUAAAUAAUCUUUUGCAUGCAUCUUUUUCCGGAAGUCAUCUACCUUAAUUCUAACUCCACCAUUUAAGUCUAGGCAUGUAACAAUCAGCCUUCCAAUCUACCACAAACAGCAUUAUUUGCUGGUUGAGCAUUAUGAAAAGGGUUUUCAGCCUCUCCAUUUUCAAUUUCGUCCUCAAGACCACCUUCCGGUCAACUGAAAGUGUCAGGAUUGCCUUGCGGAUUCUCCAUACGGGCUCCCAUUGGUUCCUGUCACUUUAAAGCUUGCUCAGCCUGCAACAAAUCUUCCAUCAUACCCUUCAACUCAGCCAAUUCUGUUUGCUGGUCUUGAUUUCUUUUCCACGUCUGCUAACAAGUCCUCUACCAUGAUUAGCCAUGGUUUAUAACUAAACUCCUAGUUCAACUUUAAGAUCUUUUCAUCUGAUACCACUUUGAUGUAGUAUGAAAGUAGAAACAACAAAAACAAAAGAAAAACAAUGAAGAAAACCAGAACAAAUGCUAAAAUUGAUCUUAAGAUUAAAGUAGGAAAAGUUACAGCCGUCUAAAGUUACAGCAGCUUUUAAUUGUAGCCCUUUGAUACAAACAACCCCAUCUAAUCCUAGCCAUUCAAACUAAUUAAAAAUGAUCACAUGCUAAUCAUGACACAUGACUAGAUAGAAAGCAUAAUUACUAACUUUUAACUAAAGUAAAACAUAAUAAGAUAACCAAUUGGAGAAAAAUUUAAGAAUGCUCUUGCAUAACCUAGCCCAACAAUUAAACUUGCCUAAAGCUUGACUUAUAAUUUGCUUGCAUUUAACUCACAAAAUACUUGGAUUCAAUCAGUUUAUUGUUGAGUUAUUCUUGAGCUCAAGUGACUAAUGGAGUCUAGUUCAAGUGUUUAUAUUACUCAGUCAAAAUGGUUCAAGAGUGUAAUCAACUUUUAAUUUUUUGAUAUAUUUUAAAAUUUCAUGUAUGUAAUACUCAUAUAAAACUAAAUAAUAUAAAGCUUAAUCAAGCCAGCUUGGAGGUCUCAGACAUAUGUGCCCUCCAAAAAAAUGUUCAAGUUGAGCUUCAGGUCUUAGUUUUGUAAUUGAGUCGUGUCAUGUUCAAGCUUGUCAUUUUGUCAACUUGAUUUGGGUCAGUUAUGCACCUGGACUUUGACCAACUCAAACUGACUAAAAAGGUUGCUGAAUUGAAAGUUGAGACAGGGACAAUUCAAAAACAAAGUAAUCUGGAAUUCUAAAUAUCCAAACUUAACAACCUAAACACCUUUAAAUGACAAGUGGGCAGUUAUACCCCUUUUGCAGUACUUGCAUAAUUUCACUUGACUUGGCUUGCAUGUGGAGAACUUGUCAGUGGAAUUGUUCAGUGGCAAAAUGAGUUUCACUGAGCUAUCACUUGAUUGCAGGAUUUGUUUUGGAUAAAGAAGACCGAAGCAUCACCAGAUCUGAUUUAUACUUCAAGGACCUAUUUCGUCGGUGUGGAUUGCACCUGUAUAAAAUAAAGGUACAUUCUAUUGCAUAUUACCCACUUACUAAGCUGUUGAUUAUGCUUUUUUAAACUGAAUAAUCUGUUAGUUUUCUCGUAAAUGCUUUUGACAAUUGUUGUUUCAUGAGGCCUAAUCCUAACUAUAUUUUGACAUUGAAAGAAUAUACAAUACAUAAAGCUACACGGGUCUGCUGUGGCAGCUUAAUGGUGCUCAAAGUUCUUAAUCAGUCUCAACUUUCAUUUUUUUGAUUCUGAAAAAUGAAACCCCCCUCACUGGCUAAAAUAAAGUGGGAAUCAAUUCAGUAUGGUACAAUUUAUAGAUAUGAUACAUUUAUGCCACCAAUGAUACUUCGCUGCAGAGUUACCUAUAUCAUGUAUUCUUUUUAUCUGUCCUAUUAUCAAUCACUUUUACAGAGAAAUUAUGGUCUUGAAGUCAAAACUGGAUACUGGAAUAAUUAAAGUUAUAAUUAACCUCAAAAUUGUGUGCUGGGUUGUGGCGGUAAAGGGGUCAACCUGAUGUAAGUUAUACAACUUGGACUUACACCAUAAAAGUCAACCAAAUGCCAACAAAGAUUAGUCGCCAACCCAUACAGUUGUGUCUGUUACACAUAACCUUUGACUUGCAACAUAACAAUCCCAAGAUGACACAUUGAAAACUGAUAAGUUUAUAUAGAUCAUGCACUAAUAGCCUCAUAUGUUGCCAUUGUCUUAACAACUAAGUCUCUAAGCAAACAUUCGAAAAUUUAGAUCUUGAAACUUUAAAAUACAAGGUCUAGCUAAAAGUCUAAUGGUAGGUGCAGGCUUUAUAGGAUGAGAGAGGGCUUCUCCUACUGUGAAGCCCUCGUUCCAUUGACUUUCAGAUGUGCCCGAAAAACAUAACAAUAGUGAGAGGCGUUGUGUGAUCUAUAUUGUUUGGUAAGUUUUAGAUAUCAUAUCAUCUUUUGUAUCCUUAUAUUCUUAUUUGAUGUUGCUGAGUUGAAUCGAUAAGGGUGUGAUUUCUAGUUGCAUGUUCAAAGUUCCCAUUAGAAAUAGGGGCAGGUUUGGUUUGCAAUCCCCCUACUUCAUUUUAGGGUUUUCAACUAUCAUAAUGUAUCCUUUUGUUAUUUAUUUGUUUGUUGUUUUGAAAACAGGACCAGAAAGGACUCCCUGAGGAAUUGUUUGCUGUAAAGAUGUAUGCUUUAACAACUGAAGGGCCAAAUAAGGUUCUCAAGACAAGAUCCAAGGCGCAAGCCAACAGACCUGGCAUCAUCAAAUGAUUUGUUGCCUCUUAACUUCUUGCAUUGUUGUAGGAGUACUCAAACUUUUCUGGUGUGGGAUGUGAUUUUAUCUUCCUAUGUAAUUUAUUAGUGUAUUACCUCAAAUUGUUUUUACUUUACAAGCUCCUUGUGGACAAAUUUUGUUCUUUUUCGUUUGAAGCUGUGUAUUUAUCCCUGGUAUACCUUUGAAGCUGUGUAUGUUCCUAAAUUCAAUUAUUGCUUGCAUAUUUUAAUUUUAUCUUAAAUUUUUUUUUUUACUUUUUAAACAAAAAUAAAGAGUAAAAUUUGCUGGUCCUUUUUACCAAGUCUGUAAUCCUUAGUCUAAUAAUACUUUAGAUGUUUAUUUUUGCUCCUAUACGCAAGACCAUCUCUCUCCCUUUUUGUCGUGUUAUGUACCAAACGGUGUCGUUUGGCACUUUGCUCCUUACAACCCUAACUCUAAAUUCCUUUUUUUCUCUCUCUCUCUCCUACAUUUUUCCCCUUGACUUUCUCUCUCUACCGCCGGCGGCUCUCUCUCACUUCUCUCUAACCCUUCAGCUCACUUCCUUCUCUCUUUCUCUUUCGGUUGGAAGUAAUGAGAAUCUCCCAAUCCCAAAAAAGGAAAUCAACUUUCUCUCCCUCACACUGCCAGAACCUUCCUUUCACCCUCACAAGUCACUCCCCAACCGAACCCAUUUCCUAGAUCUCCCUCUUUGUAAACAUUGGAGUUUUGUUUUGAUGCUUUUUUGCUUUUCUUCUAUUUUUUUGCCUUUUUGGUUGUGUUAUCUUGGGUGUGGUAUCCGGAUGCUAGAUUAAAAAGUUAGACGUUUUUGCUUCUAGGUUUUAUCUCUUUUCUGGAGAUUUUUGUUGAUGGAAUCUACAGCUUGAGGGAAUCUAUGUUUAGUUUUUUUAUAUGUAAACACCCUUUUCCAUCAUAAGGUUAAAAUUUUUUUGUUCUUUGUUUGAGAUGGAUAUCAAACCCUAUCUUCAUGAACACCACUUGCUUUAUGAUGACUACAGUGAAUCAAAGGCUCUUUGUAAUAUAUGCAAUAAGAAAAUGGAUGGUUUGUCUUAUUAUUGUGAAAGAUGCGAGUUCUGGUUGCAUAAUAGCUGCGUUCAUCAACAGCUACCUCUUCAGAUAAGUGCACAUCCUCUCCAUUCCCAACACAAUCUUAGUCUCUUAUGGUCAAACCACAUAGAUUACAUAUGUGCUAAAUGUUUCAAUCUUUCUCGAGGUCACAGGUACCAUUGCAAAGAUUGUGAUUUUAGCCUUGAGUAUCAAUGUGCUUUUUCAACCAAUGAUGAGAAAAAUAGACUCAGUGAUAACACAUCCAAAAAAAUUGGUCGUUUCAACAAGUCGUUGACCCUCUUUAACUAUAGGAGAGUGAGAAAGUAUGAGCAUAUAUGUAGUUGGUGUGAGAACCAUUUGUCUGGAAUGUCGUAUGGUUGUCUUAACGAUGGUGUUUAUAUCUGGUUCCAUGAAUCCUGCCUAAUCAACAUGCCUAGCAUAAUCUUCAAACACCCAUUCCAUCCAUUACACCCUCUUUCAUUAAGCAACAUUCAUUUUGAUAAUGGAUUGUGCCAUGCUUGCAACCUACCAAUAUGGGAGUUCAGAAAAGCCUAUUGUUGUAGAAAAUGUAAAUUCCUCCUUCAUGUGCAUUGUGCCAAACUACGACCCAGUCUCAAGGUUGAGUUACAUGAGCAUGAUCUUACUUAUUUUCGAAUAAAAGCAAAUAUCGCUACCCACCUAUGCAGGAUAUGUGGUUUUAAUUUUGAUGCUUUAGGGAGAGAAAGUGUGUUUUAUCGUUGUGUUCAGUGUAAUUUCAAUUACCAUUUCAAAUGUCUUACAAUACCACAUUCUACUUCACACAAGUAUCAUAGGCAUGACCUUGUGCUUAUGGAUUCAUUUAUAGAAGAUUUAUCUGAAGAAUAUUAUUGUGAUAUAUGUGAAGAAGAAAGAAAACCCAAGCAUAGUGUUUAUUGUUGCAAGGAAUGCAAAUUUAUUGCUCACAUCGAAUGUGCACUCAAAAAGGCAAGGAAACAUUAACUCUCUCUCUCUCUCUCUAAAGAAAUUUAAUAAAUGUUUUUUUCAUUAGAUAAACUAUUAAUUAUUUGAUCAUAGAUCACAUAUAAUGUGCCAUUUAGAAAAAUUUUGAUGCUAAUAUUUUCACUUCCUCAGGUUGUAGAUGUAAAACUUGAUCAAUGUUUGACCUCUAGCUUGUUGGACAGCGAAGCUUCAACAUUGAAGGUGAUGGAAUUGGGUCUUUUAUAUUGAUAUUAUUGUGAUGUUUUCACUUGCCAAUAAUGUUUUUUUUUUUUAAGUUUACAUCACUUGAGGUCUUCUAUGAUUCCUUGGAUUUAUAUAUUUUAAAGAUUUUGUAGUAAUAAACACUAUUUAUUUUUUUGAAUAAAAUUCAAUAAAAAAAUAAAAAAUGUAAAUAAUAUAGGUAAGAAACCUCUACUUAUAUAACAGUAUUCAAAAUUAAUUUGGAGAUGGCUUUAGUAAAAAUAUUGAAUGCUGAAUAAAAUAAAAACACAUACGUGCAUCAUGUUAAUUUCUGAACAUAUAUAUUUGAUUAUUUAGUUAUUGCUUCCAUAGUUUAGUUUUAUCUUAAAUUUUCAUUUCUUUUACUUUUUAAACACAAUUAACAAGUAAAUUUUACUCUUAAUUUUGAGCUAUUUGUAAUUUUUUGUUUUCAUUCACCAUUUUGAAUUUGUUUCAAAACCAUCUGUAUAUUAACAUGCCAAUAAAAUAUAGAUAGAAUUUGUCACGUAAAUUCCACAUAUUAUGUGAAUUUCGUGAAUGUAGUCACAUGGACAUAAAUGUAGUGCUUAGAUGGCAAAUCCGUUCCAUAUUUAAUAGUGUAUUGAUGGAUUGAUGAAUUUAAAAUAAAUUCCAAAAGACGUAAAUGGAAAAAAUUGAGUUUGUUUAGUCAUAAAUGAAAAUAAAAUAUUAUGACAAUUUUACAAAAUAAGGAUGCACUUUACUUUAAAAAUGGAGGAAGAUUAAUAACUUUCUUCAUUCGACUUGGUUGGGCAGGUGCAGAUUGAACAUAUUGAUCAUCAGCAUCCCUUGAGCUAUAAUGAGUCUAUUGAACAAAGCGAAAGUCUUCUUUGCAAUGCUUGUCGUCAAGAAGUUUUUGAUCAACACUAUGCUUGUGAAGAUUGUAAAUAUUACUUACAUGAAAAGUGCACUACAUUGCCGUAUGAGGUGUCACACCCUCUUCAUUGCCAGCAUCCUCUCAAGCUCUUCACGGAUAUAGUUGAAUUUACAUGUCAUGCGUGUAGAGACCAUUCUGGUGGGUUUGCUUACAUGUGCCUUCCAUGUGAUUUCCAACUUGAUGUGAAAUGUGCUACCUCUCCAAUCCCACCUAAAAAUGAGGGGCAAAAGCUGAAAGAGAUGGAGAAAGUUUUCAAGUUGUGCCCUUUCAAUCAAAAUCAUAAGCUAGACUUCUUCAACCGUAGAUCCAAUCUCAAAGAUUUGGCUGUGGAAUGCAAUGCUUGCAAGCUACCAAUCUUGGGUCCAGGUUAUACAUGUCUUGAUUGUUUCAAUAUCAAAAUUCAUGAAUCUUGUCUUGCACUUAUGCGGGAGAUGCAGCUCAACUUUCAUCCAUUACACCUCCUUCAUCCACAAAUUGGCGAUUGGGAAAAUUGUUUUGCCUGUAGAUUUAAAAUCAUUGAAAGUAUCGAUUAUAGUUGUCGACAGUGUGAUUUUCACCUUCAUCUUCAUUGUGCUAAUUCCCUGAAGCUGGCCUUAAAAAUUAAGUCUCACGUGCAUAAUCUCUAUUAUUUUGGACCAGAUUAUGAGAAAUCCUACCAAUUAUGUAACAAAUGCAAAAGUUACAUUGGUAAGGAACCUUUCUAUUAUUGCGUGGAGUGCAAUAUGAAUUUGCACUUAAAAUGUGUUCCCAUACCAUGUUCAGUUAAAUCCAAAUGUCACAUGCAUCGUUUGACUCUUAAAGAUCAUUUUGUGGAAGAUGAUUCUGGAGAAUACUAUUGUGACAUUUGCGAAGAAGAAAGGAACUCAAAAAAUCAUUGCUAUUAUUGUGAAGAGUGUGCUGGACAAUUUGUUGCUCAUAUCGAGUGCGCGCUUCUUACAGUAAGUUUAUCACUAUCAUUUUCUCUGUAGAAGUUUUUUAUACCAUAUUUUGAAUUUUUAAAGGAAAAUAAAAAUCUAAGUUACACAUCACAUGAUCGUAUCCACCACUUCUUUGAUUGAUUGGACUUUAUUAAUGGUUAAAGUAACUCAUAAGUUCAUAUAUUAUAGAUUUUUCAUUAAUUUAAACUUUUUACCCAAAAGUGGUUAAUUUAGUCUUUAUACUUUCAGAUUUUAUGUAAUGGACUAAGUUUGCUUAGCUUUAUCUAAAGUAACCAUUAGUGGUACUAGUGUUACAUUGACAUGUAAGAUAAAAAAAAGGAAAUUGGCCAUGUGGUAUUUUUUUCUUUCCUUUUUUUUCUUCACUUAUUUGUUCAAAACUACAUUGUUUUAGAGUAUUAUUUAAAAGCACCUUUAGUUUUUAUUUUUCAUUUUCAUUCUUUCCUUCUCUCUAGCUCUUUUCUCUCCCUUUGAAUGCAAAUUCUGGCUGUCAAUCACUAGUGGUAUGAAAAUUUAAUAAAAAAAUAAAAAAUUCAUAUUUUUUUGCCUUAUUUCCCAUAAUAAAAAUAGCUUUUUCAAAAUCUAUUUUGAUUUUCCUAGAUUUAAAAUCAUAAACUUGUAAAAAAUAAACUUGUUUCUUUCCACUGCUAUGUUCUUGACUUGAUGUUAAUGAUCAAUGAUUGUGUUUUUAUGUUGUAGGAUUUUGAAUUUACAGAUGAAAAUUUUCAUGAAUUUUUCAACUUGAAAGAUGUUGACUCACCUAUUGAGAGUUCCUCUACGGAUGAGUUGCUUUCCCAACCCCAUGCUGAAGUUUACUUGAACCAAAACAGAAUGGUAGUUAAGUCUUAUUUAAGUUCAUUUUAAAGAUUUCAUCUUUUAUGCGAAAAUGAAUUUUAUUUUAAGAAUAGUUAAAUGAAAGAAAAGUUUCAAAAUUUUGUGGGUGCCAUUGUUGUUGCAGAAGUACUGGGUGGAUAAGAAAUUAAACAAAUACUGCUUCAUGUUGUUUGCAAGAGAUCUUUCAAUCACUUGGGCAGAAAACCACCGUUACUGGCGUUGGUCAUACCAAAGAGAAACAAACAGGUUAGCAUAGAUUUAUUAUCCAUUUAGAAUCUUUACUUCAUAGAUCUAGCUUGACAACUUUUCUAAUCCACAAACUUUUGAUUUUGCAGCGAUGUGUUGAUUGAUGUUGCCGAACUUCUAGAUGUGUGUUGGCUAGAAAUGAAUGUGAAAUUCAACGUAAAAAAGCUCUCACCGAAAACAUUGUAUGGACUUGUGUUCGUGCUUAUGUUGACAAAAGAAGCACGUGGAUGGGAAACUCCAGUGAACUUCGGAUUCACUCUUCCAAAUGGGUACAAGGUUGAACGCAAGGAAACUUUGAAGUCCAAGCCGAGAGGAGUAUGGAUAGAAAUCCCCGUUGGAGAAUUUACAACUUCAUCUGAAAUUGUUGGAGAAUUUGAUAUUUACUGUCACGAAUAUGCUACAGGGAAUUGGAAGAGAGGACUUAUUGUUAAAGGAGUUACUAUUCUGCCAAAGAAUUAAACAACAAAUUAGUAUUUUCUCACAAUAAAUCUGAAAGUACUGUAGUUUUUCUAUUUGUUCAUAAUCUUGCAAAUUCGAAAAUGACAUGAACCUAAAAGGAACAAACUCAUCCAAUUAUCACUUCAACAACCAGUUCUUUGGUCCUCAUUUUAAUGUAUAGGUUCCAUGCUAAAUGCAACAAACAAGGCCAUUGAUUUUUUUGGUAUUUUUUAUAAGAUUUUAUGACCACUAGUGGCUAGUGGUUGGCUGUUGAAAUCUGGGUUUGGGGAUCAAAGUCUAAAACAGAAUGAUUAGAUAGAGAGCAAGAGAGAGAAGGAAAGAAGGAAAAAUGAAAAAAGAGAAAAAUAAAUGUCCUUUAAAUUGUAGGUUUACAAUGAUUGGUUUUGGACAAAAGAGAGAAAAAAGAAAAAGAUAAGCCAUGUGACCAAUUUCUUCUUUUAGUCUAACAUGUCAACAUUAGCAUUUUUUUUUAUAUCAAUUUAACUUUAGUAUCACUAAUAGUUAAUUUGGAUGGAGUUAGACAAAGAGACUCAAUGGUACAAAUUCUGGGUAUACAAGGACUAAAUUAAUCAGUUUUGGAUAAAUGGACUAAAUUGACAAAAAAAAAUCUUUAAUAUAGGGAUCUAUGAGGUACUUUGACCAUUAAUAAAUUUCAAUCAAUCAAAGAGGUGAUGGCUAUGAUCAUGUAAUGUGUAUGUGUAAUUGAGAUUUUUAUUUUCCUUCAAAAAAAUUCAAUAAUGUGGUAUAAAAGAAAUCUAUAAAGAGAAAAAAUAAUUGUUGUCUCCUCAGCAUUUUUUGAAACCUUUUCAGCACUUUGAAGCUUUGUCCAUUAAUUAAUCAGCUUGUUUUAGGCAUGUUCAUAUAGUAACACAAGUCUUUACGUUGUAUAGAACCUUUUGUUCCUUUUUGAACUCCUAUAAUCUUGCGCAAGUUGUGUAUAUAGGGAGAUACAUGCCUAAGCUGCAGGGAUGGUUUUUGUUCACCUGCUUUUUUGUAUAUUGAUUUUGCUUAAGGUAUAAAGAUAUAGAAUUUUAAAAAAAAGAUACAAAAUUGUGGGAUUAGCAAAUUGAUAGCCACAUUUGGAAUAAAAAAGUAGCAAUUAAAAGAAGCAUUUUAUCUUUAAUGAUGAGUAAGCUGUCUUUAGCUUUUUUCUUUUUUAUAUUCUCUCAAUAAUUUCCUACUUUAAAUAGAGAAAAAAAACCACCGUUGACAGGGCAUGAAACACAUGCCACUUUCUUGUUUUUGGUAUAAAGGCUUGAGGGAAUCUUUGUUUAGGUUUUAUAUUUAAAUACACUCUCUCAUUAAGAGGCUAGUAGUUGAUCAUCUUUCUCUUCAUCUACCUAAAUUUCUUUCUUUGUUUGUUUCAGAAAACAAGAUAGAGAUUGUUCUGCUAUGAGGAUAUUCUGUACUUGUUUUUGACAGAAAUUUAGUACCUCCUUAAGUCCUCAACCGUCUUGGUGUUGCAAAAAGGGGGUUGUAGCUAGAAAUUAACAACAAAAAAUAUGCAAGCAAGGCUGUUGAUGUGAAUGAUUUAGCUUAGUUUGGGUUAUACAAGGCACAACAAUUCUUUGAACGUCAAAUACACUUUCCUAUAUUUAAGCUUUUUCUUCAUAAUGUGUAGGAUUGCAGGGCAUUUUAUUCAACUAUAUUUUGGUUAGAUUGUAGGGAAAAAGACAUAAAGGAGAGAAACAUUUUUAGAUAAUGAUUCAAAAUUUAAUUUCAUUAAUAAGUUAAAAAAUUAUAGCAAAUUGUCAAAAAGGUUCAAAAAAAAUUUUUCUGCUCCUUUUAUUCUCUCUUAGCCAGAAGCGAUGUGCAUUCUCGAACUAGUGAGUUGCAAAUAAGUGGCUGCUUUCCUGCAUAUCUUUGAGUUGAAUGACCAUAUACUUAUUUAUUUCGUAUAUUUCGAUAAAUUUAUGUUAAUAUUCAAGUUUUUAAUAUUUAAAUGAAUUUAUAUUUGAUGCAUUAACAAUGUAUAUAAGAUAUAUGUCAGUAUAUCAAAUAUGAAUCCUAUUUAAAUAGAUUAAGAGUACAUAGUUAAGAAUUACAGGGAGUUUAAUUUGAGAUAGUAGCUUUUUGUAUGAAAGAACAAAAAUAAGAUUUUAUUACUUUUUUUAUUUGUUUUUGUUAAUUUUAUUGUGUCAGCUUGAUUUUAUGUCAAUAGACCUAUUAAUUCAUCAUGGUUAGUAAUCAACUGCUUCAAUAACGAUGCUUCCCAAGUUUAAAAGGGAAAAUAGGAGAUUCCAAACUUAAAACCUUCAUGUCCUUGAUGCUUUUCUUAUUUCUCUGUCCCUUUUUAUUUGUUGUUUUAGUUACAAAAUUGUGGAAGUAGAAUCUUGAUUGUUGCAUUUUCAAUAAAAAGUACCAAUUUACAGAAGCAUUUUAUCUUUAAUGAUGAGUAAGUUUUCUUUGGCCUUUUUCCUUUUUUUGAAAGACAAAGAGAAUAGUAUUUCAUAAAAAAAGGUACAUCUUAAUUAAAUUAUUUGAAGGCAAGAAAUUAAGAUUAGCAUCAGUAUUCACUUCCAAAUUCUCACAAUCAUUUCUUUUUUUAAAUAAAAAAAAAUAAUGUUGUUUUUAUCACCCACUCAAUUAAUUAAUCUGAAAUUGUCGUUGUAUUAGUAAAAUGAAUCGUAAUCACAAUAUAUGCGCGAUGUGUUUUCAUUGGGCAAGUAAUUGUUAUAUAACUAAAGCAAAAAUAAAGUAAUUGCUAUAUAGCAUUAUUUUACUUAGAGGGAAAUAUUUAAUUAAAGAAAAAAAAAGUAAUUCCAAACUUAGAACCUUUAUCCUUUUAAAAACCAAUGAAUAGAGUAAUGUUGAUUCUCUAUAAAGUGAUUUGAUUUCAAAAUGCCAAAGGUCCUUGAUGCUUUUCUUCUUUUUUAAACAAAACACUCCCCUUGCUAAACUAAAGUGAGAAUCAAUUAAGUUUGGUACAACUUAUAGAUACAUUUAUGCCACUAGUAAUACUUUGUUUCAGAAUUAUCUUUUCUUUUUAAAAACAAUAAAGAUGAAUUAUAUAUUAAAAAAGAGUAUUCCUUUACAACUUAACAAAAAAGACCCACGACUACAUCAAAGGCAAGCAAUGGGACUUAAAAAUUUGGGUAGACCAGUACUUGCCUAAGGUCCCGCCAACUAGCAUUAAAAAGAAAAUAUUACAAAAGGUAAGAAAACUCACUCUAUACAUAACAAAAGGACCUCCGAAAAAGUGUUCAAUCAAUAUCCCUUAAAAAAAAGGCAGUAUAAACGAAGAAACAUCAGUGGUUCCAUAAAGGUAGCAGCAAGCAUUAUGAUGCACAACAAAAGUCAAUAAAGCAGGGGACAGAAUACCCCACACUAGGUUAAUGUAUAUUCUUCUCCGAGGUUGGCAGAGAGUCAUUGAUCCAAAACAAAUCUGUUGAUCUUGAGACACCUUCUUUGGCUAGGGUGUCAGCUUCUUCAUUAGCAGACCGAAAAAUGUUUUUAAUCACCAACCCAACGUCCUUGGUCAACUUCUUCCACAUACGUUGUCCAAUAAAAAUCACUCAAGUGUCUCGCAUUGCUUGAAAAGGACAAAAAGACUGCCACGUGCUACCUUAUUGGCAAUUGCUACUAGCGUUCUCCACCGCCCGCUUGGUGUCGCCUGUACAGCCAGAACCACAACCACCACCAUUUGCAAUUCUCCUGAGUCUGAAUUCUUAUCACAUUACUACUGUUGGAAAAGUGUUUGACAAACAACUUUCAGCUAGUAAGUUAGACUCACUAUAACCUUUAUUAUCAAAAAUUUUAUACGCAUCGCUUUUGGAUUACAAAGCAUUACAAGGACGAAUUAUAAAGCAUUUUAAUUCUCAUGGUUUUUUUUUUUUUUUUAAAGAGUGAUUUUGGGUUCAACUUUAAGAAAUUGUCUGCCACUUGUUCAUUGUUACAAAACAGGGUCGGAAGAGAAGCAGCUUCAACAUCAUCCACUUGUUCAGUCAACCAAUAAUUAACUGCUGUUUUCAUUAACCAAUUUACAUUUGAGAAACAACAAAAACAAUGGCAAAAGCACUUCUUUCCAUGAUCCUGGAGCAGCAGUUGGGUGGUUCGUUCAUUCCUCAAGAGAUAAAGCAUCAUGUCGGAUUGGCUGUAGGUCUUGAAGAAGAAAUCCAAAAACUCACCAGCAACUUUGACGCCAUUCAAGCUGUGCUUGAAGAUGCGAAAGGAUAAACCAAACAGGGCUUGCCUAACCCAAGGCGCGGAGGAUAAGGCAUACCGAUGUGGAUGCGGCCCAUAUCCCAAGCUGUUUCCCCACAGACCCUCCAACAGUGUCCCAUAACUCUAGUCCUACAUCCACCACGGAAGAAUUACAAGACUCCCAAGGAGCGGAGGACGGCAAUGGAGGCGGCUGGCUCCGAUUCCGAUGGCAGAGAAUUCAAGAACCCACAGGAAAUGUGGAGGGAGCAAAUUGGAGAUGCAGAUGCAGGAGAUAACCAUAAGAAGACUCAGUGGUACCGUGAAGGCGUUGCCUAUUGGGAAGUAAGUCUUUCUUAACUCUGGUUCUUACAUUUGUAUGUGGGUACCAUUACCGAACUCAUAAUAUAGUUAUUGGUUUCUUUGGUUGUGCUAAGAGAAGGGUGUGGAGGCAUCGGUAGAUGGGGUGUUGGGUGGAUUUGGGCAAGUAAAUGAGGCAGAUGUCAAGGGUAGUGAGGUUUUUCUCAAUACCCUUUUGCAUGAAAGAUUCUCGAUGGCGGUGGAAGAAAUCACCAUCUUGUUGCUCUUGGUACUUCUCUGUCUCUCUCUGUGUGCUCAACUUUAUAUUGUUUUUAUGAAGUUAUAUACCCAUAUAUGUUCUGUUGAGGUAGUUUGGUUUAUGUUAUUAUUAUUUUUUUUUUUUACACUAAAAAUCAACCUUAGGUUAUUAUGCGCCAUUAAAUGUGGAAGUGCAAAGUUGGUGAUGGGAUCCUACUUCAUUAGAAUGUAGCAUUGGUGGAAAACCUAAUUAACUAUAAAUUAAACAAAAAACAUAGUGGUGACAGCAGAAAGGGAUGUUGUGAUAGAUGAAAUUUUGAGUUAAAUAUCCGCAAUUAGUGCUUGAAACCGGAAACCAAGAUAACUUGAUAACACAACCAUGAAGAGUUUAUGUCCCAUAAUCCCACCCCAUAAAAGAAAAUAAAUAAAUAAAGAAGAGGAAAGCAUGGAAAUUUGCAUGAAUAUGCAUUUUCUGAAUUAAUUUGCAUGAUAUCUUCACCAAAAAUCAGUCUUAGUAGUGCAAGAAUUAUGUCAUGCAUUAGAGGUGUUGCUUUGAUUUAGAAUGCCAGCGUUAUAGGUGUUGCUCUUAUUUAGAAUGCCAUAAUGCAAUUGAGAAUUGGGUUUACUACAUGCUAUUUUGCUUAAUAAAAAACCAUCUUUAAGCAAUAUUCUUUUUUAAAUUUGGGAAGAAGCUUGCUGGGAGUUCUCUCUGUCUCUUAAGGGUUGUGUGCUUGUGGGGGGUGGGGGAUGGGGCACCCCUGGACCCAAUUUGAGGCCGUUGUGAGUGCUCAGAAUAAAGGAAAGAAAUUUCUGUGUUUAAGAUUGAAAAAUUACUUUCACAUUUCGUCAGCAGCGAAGAUGCUCUAUCUUGCUAAUAUUCUGGAACUUGUUAUCCUUUGAAUGGCAAAAAUUAGAUAUGUCUUCAGUAUGUUUUAUUACUAGGAGAUUGAUUCUUCGACAUGAGUAGGAUCUAUAAUUGCCUAUAUAUGAAGUUGGUCUUAAUACUUGUGAGUUGGUGGACUAUACUGGGGCAACUGACUGAAAUCUUGCGAAGGGGAAUUGUAGGGGAAAUUAUUUAGGAAACUAAGCAGUUGGAGUUUGGCUUUAAUAUAAAGAUAUUUAGAUAACUAAGCAGUAAUGGUUUGGCUUUAAUAUGAAGAUAAUUAAGUGAUUUCCACAAGUUUUAUUUUAAGUAAUAUGAUAUAAGAUGCACUUAAGCACUUGGCUCUAUGAUAGGUGCAUGUAUCCCCUGCUAAAAGAGCUGGGUUUAAAUUACCAUCACCAAAUAAAAUAAAAUAAAACAUGAUAAUUGAUGGUUGUGCCCUCAAACUUUUGCCUUCAUGUGGUUUAUGUUGGUGGAAUCAAAACAAACUCUUUUGAUGAUCUCAGUGCAGAUGAAUCUGGUACAUUUUAGGGCCUAGCAUACUAAAUUAAACUACGUCAUAAUUCUCAAAACACUGCAUUGCUGACCUUUAUUUUAAGUCCAUACAUUUAAGCAGUAGUAAUACCUGCAAAUGGUUCUAAAGCAUACUUGAAAUAUUGCUGGAGUACUGAUCUGUUUGGUAUUUCAUUUUUCUUGAUGUUUUUAAUUCUAAUUGAAAAUCAUAAAUCUAGUUGACAUUCUGAGCUUUUAGUUUCUAUGUUAAUUUAACAUACUGCAGAUUGUGGUUCUAGCAUAGGGAGAAUAACCAAUAAUCUGUUUGGUCAUUUUUCUCUUUCUAUUAGUUUAUUUUCAAUAUUCCUGACAUUUACCAUCUUUUCAAUUAAUUGAUAACAUGGUUCAUAGUGCAUAAUUUUUACUAGCUAAUGAAUUUCUCUGAUGUUUUUGAAUUGAAAGCAAAAUUGGGCGGUGCCUUUUAAAAAAUUCAAGUAGGACAUGAGGAGGGUAUACGUUAAUUUCGAGGUACCUGAACCCUAAGCUUAUAAAAAAUCAAAUACCCAAACCUUAUUAAUUACUUGAAUAAUUUUAAAAAUUACUACUUUAACCUUAACCCUAAUACAUUUUCACUGUUCUAUAAUUAUCCUAAUCUGUUAGAAAACCCCAAUUAGAUAAAAAAAUUAUUAAAAUGUUCUUCAUGAGUACCCAAUUACUCGAACCCAAACCCAUAUCCAUAUACAAUAAUAUUUAUCCUACAUAUUUCAUAUAAUUAACUACUAAUUAAAUUAAUAAAAACACAAAUAAUAAAAUUUAAAUUUAAAUAAUAAAAAAUUAUAAAGUGUGUUUAUAAAUGAACAUAAUAUAUGAUAUAAAUCAAUAUUAUUUUAUUAUUCAGUAAUUAUUAACUUAUAUAAUAGUAAUUAUAUUCUUUAUAAAUAAACAUAAUAUAUAAUAUAAAGUGUAUGUAUUAAAAGACAUUAAAAGUUAUAUACUCUAAAGUGUGUAUAUAUAUAUAUUAUAAUUAAUAAUUUUAUAAGUUAUAAUUUUUGUAAUGUUAACACAAAAUAAAAUGUAAAUAUAUUUAUAUUUAAAGUANNNNNNNNNNNNNNNNNNNNNNNNNNNNNNNNNNNNNNNNNNNNNNNNNNNNNNNNNNNNNNNNNNNNNNNNNNNNNNNNNNNNNNNNNNNNNNNNNNNNNNNNNNNNNNNNNNNNNNNNNNNNNNNNNNNNNNNNNNNNNNNNNNNNNNNNNNNNNNNNNNNNNNNNNNNNNNNNNNNNNNNNNNNNNNNNNNNNNNNNNNNNNNNNNNNNNNNNNNNNNNNNNNNNNNNNNNNNNNNNNNNNNNNNNNNNNNNNAAACAUAUCUCAGAAGUCAGAAAAACAUCACAGCCCCUUCCUUUUCAGCAUCAAAUAGAAAACAGCCCUGCCCCCUCAUCCAAUAAGUACCCAUUCUGUGCAACUCUGGAAGAAGAGCUCAAAUCAUGUGCUCUCAUUCUGCUUUCGUACUCCUGAAAAUACUCACAUGUACAGCAUAUAUUUGUUAAAUCUACAUUGCAUGGUAUAUGUUGUUGUCACCAGUAGAACAGGGAAGAGGCCAUGAAUCCUGCGGAUAAUUGUAUGGAACGUGCAGCGAAGAGGCCAUGGAACAUUAGUCAAUAUUGCAAUUUUGUAGCGUUUUUUCUGAGAUAACCACUCCACAGACUAGGCUCCAACUCAACAAAAGAAAAAAAAUUGCGGAGUCAUAGAUCUCCCAUGUUGGAAUUUUGAUUAGUGAUUUUCUCUUAACCAAUUCAAAACAUGUUAAUUUCUAUAUUUGUUGACCACAUGAGGCUAGGAAAACUUUCACCAAAACGUUCAAGGAAAAAACAGACCAGAAAUGGAAGUUUACCUACUUGAUUGUUCAGAGUGACUCACCUUCCCCAUCAGAAUCAAUUCUCCACCACCAUGAAUUGUCUCUUCCUCCUUCAGACUUUCACUGAUUUCGCAGUUUGCCCCCCUGCUAAGCUGCUGCACUUCGCACUGCUUCCUUGAUUGGGUUGACUAUCGCCAUGCGGAUUAUUAUUUGGACCCUUCUUUUUAAUGGGCUAAAACAUACCAGCUUAAUUCACAUCGGCCAAACCCAACUACAGGAGAGUGGCUGGUGGAUCUCUCCAUGGACCAAGUUAUCAGCAGAAGCCUGCAGGCCUGAUAGGACAGGCGGCCUGGAUAUGAUUUUCUAGGCUCAGGUUCUACAAGGUUUGACCCAAGAAUACUGUUAUUUUUAUUAAUAAAUACUUUAUUUUAUUAUAUUUUAAUUCUAAAAUAUAUUUUCAAAUACUAAUGUAAAAUUAUUUAAUAUAUAUAAUAAUAAAAUAUAUAUAAACGAGUAUUGGAAUUGGGUUUGGGACGGGUACCCACGUAACCUGAAUAUUAACAUAAUCAGGUUCAGGUAGCGGGUACUCAAGAGAUAGUACCUGAAUCCGAUAUGGGUAGUGAAAUCACUAUUCGAACCCGUCUUAAACCCGAUUAUAGAGUAUCAUAGUAUGAGUUGGAGCUAUGAUCUUAAUAAAGCUGCAUAGUACUUUGUGAUAGCUAUGCUUUCUGACCCCUCUUCCGUUUACCAUUCUCCAGGUUGAUCUACUUGAGCCAGUUUCACAUUUCUUAGAUGCUGCCCGUCAAAGUUUGUCUCAGGAAUAUUUUGUAGCCUCUGAUGCGCACAAAGCAAGUAAUUUCUACUGUGUCCCCCUUCAGGUAAUGUAGUUCAAGACUAUAUUCACACAUAGAUACAUGCUUCUUGAUGUGUUGAAGUAUUCAUAACUAUGGUUAAGUCUAUGUAAGCUAUGUAUUUCCAACUUUUCACUUUACCCUUUAUUGCGGAUGUAGCCAUGUAAUUGACACCUCAAGCAGGCAUGUUGUUUGAGUACAAUCCUGGGAAAAACUUACAAAAUUUAAUGUAAACAUGUUAAAUAUGGGUUUGCACCUGGAACUCGCAUUUGAAUCUGGGCAACAUAGUCUGUAUUCUGUAGGCGGCUUUAGUCAUGAAUCAUUAUAGGUAUAGCCUAGAAGAGUUAAUAUGACUGAUAUUAUGGGGAUGGGAUGGGUGGGAAGGAGAUUGGACAUGUGUAGCUUUAGCUUGCAAUGUGAAACUUAGAUGAUUAGACAACCUUUGGAUUCAAGUAAAUUUUUGCAAACAAUUAUUUACUCUUUUGUGUGUGUUGUGGGGGGGGAAGAGGGGAGCAGCAUAUUGGGUAGUGAAUGAGCUCUCUAAGUUGGUGACAUAUGUACUUGUCUUCUUCUGAUGCUUCUGGCUGCUAAAUUUUACUUUAUAAAACAGAAAUUUGACAACCAUAUUUUUUUGUCUUUUUCUUUUUCAGGAGUUCACCCCUGAUGCUGGAAGGUACAAUGUUAUUUGGAUUCAGUGGUGUAUCGGUCAUCUCACAGAUGAUGACUUUGUCUCAUUUUUUAAGAGAGCAAAGGUGAAUAAAUCUUCUUCUUGAGACAGAACUUACUUUUUAUUUGACAUGUUGUGCUGUGUGGAAGUGCAUGGAAAGAUCAAAAUUAUGUAUUGAAAUUUUCUUGCCUGCUGUCUACUAUACAUUCGAAUUGCCUUGUUCUGAUUUUUGAAUUAUGAACUGUCAGAUCAUUGCAAUGGUAUCUCAAAUUUUCCUUUUCCAAAUUUAUUGCUUCUAGCUUUCUCUCUUGUAACUUCUCUUAAACCUUCUUACAGCUAUAGGAAUUAAGGUUGUCUAGAGAACAUAACAUAGCAAACACCAGAAGGAUGAUAUAGUCAAACUCUUUUUUCUUUUUGUCCUUUCUUUUUUUAUUUUAAUUUUUUUUUUUGCAAUGUGUCGUGUUGUUCAUUCUAUUCUUCUUCCUGCUAGGUAAGUAGCGGAUUUGAUGGGUUGGUUUGGAGUGUUUGGGCCCAUCCCUAGCACCACAGAAACAAGGCUUGAUAAUGCUUUACAAUUCAUACAGCUAUUUUGCUAUCAUCCGUUUUCUCACCUUACAAAAGCUUGUGACCAAAUUUUGUUGUGCCUUGUGCAUUGAAAUAAGUUUUAAGAAAUGAUGGUAGUUUGACUUUUGUCCUUUAAGUUUGUAAAUGGUGGGAAAUAAAAUUAAAUCUAGAAAGUGCCAUAUUCAUUUCAUGGCACCUUGAGUCCCUACUCUCCUGCUUCCCUUGCUGCAACCUUUUUUUUUUUCCAGGUGCUGUUGAGCAUAACUUUUUGCUCUGCCUUCAAUGUAUUUUCAUCAAAAUUAAGCAAAACAUAUUAAUAAUAAAAAGCUCCAACAUGGAAAUUCUUGGGCAUGUGUAUGUGUAUGUAGUUUGGAGGCCUGAUCUCUAAGUUGUGUCCUGGAAAGACCCUUGUUGAAAUUUAUUAUUCUUGCAUAUAUGAUUUAAAAGAUUAUAAUUUGCACUUUAAUUUGAUACAGUAAUUAAUUUGUUGAUUCCAGGUAGGCCUUAAACCUGGUGGAUUCUUUGUCCUGAAAGAGAACAUUGCUAGAAACGGUAUUGUCUUUAUGACUCUUUGAUUUUUCUAAGCAUGUUUGUUUGCCCUCCCUCCCUCUCUCCCUCCCCUUUUUAAGAAGUGCUCAAGUUUUGUUUAAUGCAUUCCUCAAACUUUCUUAUGUUUUGGUAUUCUGUGGUAAAUUUUCAUAAAGUUGUGUUUUUCUUUUUUGAAAUGCCGCAUGUCAUCUCACGUAUGAGAAGGCAUAAAGUUGCUUUUUUGAGCUGAUAUUACUUUCUAACUUUGUCUUAUUAUGUAAUUAUCUGGCCCCUCUACAACUUUGAAGUAACAUCAUAGUUAAUAAUAAUUAAAAGAUAAAUGGAUAAAGGAAAUUUUAAGCUCCAUUUUCUCGUUCCAUUGCUUGAUACCAAGGGAAGCAGCAAGUUUUUGUUUUAUGCAUUCCUCAAACUUUCUUAUUUUUUGGUGUCCUGCUGUAAAAUUUUCAUAAAGUUGCUUUCUAGAGCUGAUAUUACUGUUUAAAUUUGUUUUAUUAUGUAUUCAUCUGCCCGCUACUGCUUUGACUUAUUCUAGUUAAUGUUUUAAAUGUUGAAUUAAGGAUAAACGGAUAAAGGAAUAUUUAAGCUCCAUUGUCUUGUUUCAUUGCAUGAUACCAAGGGAAACAGCAAAAAAGUGUUGAAACUUAUAAUUCGCAGGUUCAGGGAUGAGUCUCAUCUGCUCAAAUGGGUAUGGGGUAUAAUUUUACUAUGCUACCAAUUUGGGACACCUUUUGGUAACACUGUCUAUGUACAACUUUCUUCAGUGAAAAUUCAUGAAGGAAAGAUGACCUAGUGAUGUAGUGAGGAAGUAGAAACAAUAACAAGAAACCAAAACAGUGAACAAAACCAGAACAAAGGUUAAAAUUGAUGUAAAAUCAAAGUCGGAACAAGUUACAAGCCAUUAGGACCAAUUGUCGAGCAUCUUAAGGUUAAAUAAACAAGUCACUCCCAUCUGUAAUAGAUUGAUUCAAACCAGCUAGAUAACAAGAAGUCAACUGCUCAUUAGUCUCUUUGAAACCAACACUAGGGAAAGGUUGUUGAAACCUGAAGUGUACUCCUCAAUGGACAUACUAUUUUGCUUGAGUGAAUGAAAUAUCUCAUUCAACUCCAUUUAAUCAGCUGGCAGAAAUUUCCUCAUCUUCAUUUUCAUGUGUUCCCAAGUGUUGAUUUUUGGCUUGCCUUGAUGUGCUUGCCGCUCUUCAACGCUCUUCCACCAUUGAAGUGCAGUCCCUUCAACUUAAGCUUCACAAACAGCACCUUUCUUUGUUCUACCAUUGGUUUCUACUAAAAAUAAUUUUACAAACUCGCUUUCUGGUCUAAAUAAUCUUUUGCAUGCAUCUUUUUCCGGAAGUCAUCUACCUUAAUUCUAACUCCACCACCAUUUAAGUCUAGGCAUGUAACAAUCAGCCUUCCAAUCUACCACAAACAGCAUUAUUUGCUGCUCGAGCAUUAUGAAAAGGGUUUUCAGCCUCUCCAUAUUCAAUUUCAUCCUCAAGACCACCUUCCGGUAAACCGAAAGGGUCAGGAUUGCCUUGCGGAUUCUCCAUUCGGGCUCCCAUUGGUUCCUGUCACUUUAAAGCUUGCUCAGCCUGCAACAAAUCUUCAAUCAUACCCUUAAACUCAGCCGAUUCUGUUUGCUGGUCUUGAUUUCUUUUCCACGUCCACUAACAAGUCCUCUAACACGAUUAGCCAUGGUUUAUAAGCUAAAAUCCUAGUUCAACUUUAAGAUCUGUUCAUCUGAUACCUCUUUGAUGUAGCAUGGAAGUAGAAACAACAAAAACAAAAGAAAAACAAUGAAGAAAACCAGAACAAAGGCUAAAAUUGAUCUUAAGAUCAAAGUAGGAACAAGUUACAGCAGCUUUUAAUUGUAGCCCUUCGAUACAAACAAGCCCAUCUAAUCCUAGCCAUUCAAACUAAUUAAAAAUGAUCACAUGCUGAUCACGACACAUGACUAGAUAGAAAACAUAAUUACAAACUUUUAACUAAAGUAAAACAUAAUAAGAUAACCAAUUGGAGAUAAAUUUAAGAAUGCUCUUGCAUAACCUAGCCCAACAAUUAAACUUGCCUAAGGCUUGACUUAAACUAGGACUCAAGUCUCAUAAUUUGCUUGCAUUCAACUCACAAAAUGCUUGGAUUCAAUCAGUUUAUUGUUGAGUUAUUCUUGAGCUCAAGUGACCAAUCGAGUCUAGUUCAAGUGUUUAUAUUACUCAGUCAAGAUGGUUCAAGAGCGUAAUCAACUUUUAAUUUUUUAAUAUAUUUUAAUAUUCCAUGUAUGUAAUACUCGUAUAACACUGAAAAAUAUAAAGCUCUAUCAAGUCCAGCUUGGAGGUCUCAGACAUAUGUACCCUCCAAAAAAUUGUUCAAGUUGAGCUUCAGGUCUUAGUUUUGUAAUUGAGUCGUGUCAAGUUCAAGGUUGUCAUUUUGUCAACUUGAUUUGGCUCAGUUAUGCACCUAGACUUUAACCAGCUCAAACUGACUAAAAGGUUACUGAAUUGAAAGUUGAGACAGGGACAAUUCAAACACAAAGUAAUCUGGAAUUCCAAAAAUCCAAACUUAACACCUAAAAACCUUUAAAUGACAAGUGGGUAGUUAUACCCCUUUCGCAGUAAUUGCAUAAAUUCACUUAACUUGGCUUGCAUGUGGAGAACUUGUCAGUGGAAUUGUUCAGUGGCAAAAUGAGUUUCACUGAGCUAUCACUUGUUUGCAGGAUUUGUCUUGGAUAAAGAAGAUUGAAGCAUCACCAGAUCUGACUUAUACUUCAAGGCCCUAUUUCGUCGAUGUGGAUUGCACCUGUAUAAAAUAAAGGUACCUUCUAUUGCAUAUUGACCACUUAAUAAGCUGUUGAUAACGCUUUUUUAAACUGAAUAUUCUGUUAGUUUACUCGUAAAUGCUUUUGACAGUUGUUGUUUCAUGAGGCCUAAUCCUAACUAUAUUUUGACUUUGAAAGAAUAUACAAUACAUAAAGCUACACAGGUCUGCUGUGGUAUCUUAAAUGGUGCUCAAAGUUCUUAAUCAGCCCCAACUUCCAUUGUUUUGAUUCUGAAAAGCAAAACCCCCCUCACUGGCUAAAAUAAAGUGGGAAUCAAUUCAGUAUGGUACAAUUUAUAGAUAUGGUACAUUUAUGGCACCGAUGAUACUUUGCUGCAGAGUUACCUAUAUCAUGUAUUCUUUUAUCUUCCCUAUUAUCAAUCACUUUUACAGAGAAAUUAUGGUCUUGAAGUCAAAACUGGAUACUUUAAUAAUUAAAGUUAUAAUCAACCUCAAAAUUGUGUGCUGGGUUAUGGCGGUAAAGGGGUCAACUUGAUGUAAGUUACGCAACUUGGACUCACACCAUAAAACUCAACCAAAUUCCAACAAAGAUUAGUUGCCAACCCAUCCAGUUGUGUCUGUUACACAUAACCUUUGACUUGCAACAUAACAAUCCCAAGAUGACACAUUGAAAACUGAUAAGUUUAUAUAGAUCAUGCACUAAUAGCCUCAUAUGUUGCCAUUGUCUUAACAACUAAGUCUCUAAGCCAACAUUCAAAAAUUUAGAUCUUGAAACGUUAAAAUACAAGGUCUAGCUAAAAAUCCAAUGAUAGGUGCGGGCUUUAUAGGAUGAGAGAGGGCUUCUCCUAUUGUGAAGCCCUCGUUCCAUUGACUUUCAGAUGUGCCCCAAGAGCAUAACAUUAGUGAGAGGCGUUGUGUGAUCUAUGUUGUUUGGUAAGUUUUAGAUAUCAUAUCAUCUUUUGUAUCCUUAUAUUCUUAUUUGAUGUUGCUGAGUUGAAUCGAUAAGGGUGUGAUUUCUAGUUGCAUGUUCAAAGUUUCCAUUAGAAAUAGGGGCAGGUUUGGUUUGCAAUCCCCCUACUUCAUUUUAGGGUUUUCAACUAUCAUAAUGUAUCCUUCCUUUUGUUAUUUAUUUGUUUGUUGUUUUGAAAACAGGACCAGAAAGGACUCCCUGAGGAAUUGUUUGCUGUAAAGAUGUAUGCUUUAACAACUGAAGGGCCAAAGAAGGUUCUCAAGACAAGAUCCAAGGCGCAAGCCAACAGACCUGACAUCAUCAAAUGAUUUGUUGCCUCUACCUUGUUGCAUUGUUGUAGGAGUACUCAAACUUUCUGGUGUAGGAUGUGAUUGUAUCUUCUUCCUAUGUAAUUUGUUAGCGUAUUACCUCAAAUUGUUUUUACUUUACAAGCUCCUUGUGGACUAGUUUUGUUCUUUUUCGUUUGAAGCUGUAUAUUUAUCCCCGGCAUACCUUUGAAGCUGUAUAUGUUCCUAAAUUCAAUUAUUGCUUCCAUAUUUUAAUUUUAUCUUUAAUUUUUUUUUUUUACCUUUCAAACAAAAAUGAAGAGUAAAUUUUACUAUUCCUUUUUACCAAUUCUUUAAUCCUUAGUCUAAUGAUACUUUAGAUGGAUACUUUUGCUCCUAUUCGCAAGACCAGCCCUCACCCUUUUUGUAGUGUUAUUUUCCAAACGGUGCCGUUUGGCACUUUGCUCCUUACAACCCUAACUAUAAAUUCCUCCUUUUCUCUCUCUCUCUCCUUCAUUUUUCCCCUUACUUUCUCUCUCUACCGCCGGCGGCUCUCUCUCAUUUCUCUCUGAACCUUCAGCUCACUUUCUUCUCUCUUUCUCUUUCGCUUGGAAGUAAUGAGAAUCUCCCAAUCCCAAAAGAGGAAAUCAACUUUCUCUCCCGCACACUGCCAGAACCUUCCUUUCGCUCUCACAAAUCAGUCCCCAACCGAACCCAUUUCCUAGAUCUACGUCUUUGUAAACAUUGGAUUUUUGUUUUGAUGCUUUUUGCUUUUCUUUUUUUUUGCCUUUUGCCAUUUUGGUUGUGGUAUCCGGCUGCUAGAUUAAAAAGUUAGAAGUUUUUGGCUUCUAGGUGUUUGCUCUUUUCUGGAGAUUUUUGUUGAAAGAGCCCCUCCUUUUGUGAAGAUUUCUGCUUUUAUAUAUAUAGGGGCCGAAAAUUCUCUCCUUAGUACUCGGUUAGCCAUUGAUUUAUCCUAAUUUUUAUUGAAUAAAAAUGAAAAUGAAAAAUAGAAUAAUAAGGUAAUAAAAAUAGUAAUAAAAGUACAUAAAAAAAUAGUAUCUACAGCUUGAGGGAAUCUAUGUUUAGUUUUUUAAUAUGUAAACACCCUUUUCCAUGGAAAGGUUAAAUUUUUUUUUCUUUGUUUGAGAUGGAUAUCAAACCCUUUCUUCAUGAACACCACUUGCUCUUUGAUGACUACAUUGAAUCAGAGGCACCUUGUAAUAUAUGCAAUCAGAAAAUUGAUGGUUUGGCUUAUUAUUGUGAAAGAUGCAAGAUUUGGUUUCAUAAUCCCUGCGUUCAUCAUCAGCUACCUCUGCAGAUAAGUGCACAUCCUUUCCAUUCUCAACACAAUCUUAGUCUCUUAUGGUCAAAUCACAUAGAUUACAUAUGUGCUAAAUGUUUCAAUCUUUCUCGAGGUCAUAGGUACCAUUGCAAAGAUUGUGAUUUUAGCCUUGAGUUUCAAUGUGCUUUUUCAAUCAAUGAUGAGAAAAAUAGACUCAGUGACGAGACAUCCAAAAAAAUUGGUCGUUUCAACAAGUCGUUGACCCUCUUUAACUAUAGGAGAGUGAGAAAGUAUGAGUAUAUAUGUAGUUGGUGUGAGAAUCAUUUGUCUGGAAUGUCUUAUGGUUGUCUUGACGAUGGAGUUUAUAUCUGGUUCCACGAUUCGUGCCUAAUCAACAUGCCUAGCAUAAUCUUCAAACACCCUUUUCAUCCAUCACACCCUCUUUCAUUAUGCAACAUUCAUUUCGAUAAUAGAUUGUGCAAUGCUUGUAACCUACCAAUAUGGGAGUUCAGAAAAGCCUUUUGCUGUAGAAAAUGUAAAUUCCACCUUCAUGUUCAUUGUGCUGAACUACGACCCAGUCUGAAGGUUGAGUUACAUGAGCAUAAUCUUACUUAUUUUCGAAUAAAAGCUAAUAUCUCUACCCACCUAUGUAGGAUUUGUGGUUUUAAUUUUGAUGCUAUAGGGAACGAAAGUGCUUUUUAUCGUUGUGUUGAGUGUAAUUUCAAUUACCAUUUCAAAUGUCUUACAAUACCACAUUCUACUUCACACAAGUAUCAUAGGCAUGAUCUCAUGCUUAUGGAUUCAUUUAUAGAAGAUGUUUCUGAAGAAUAUUAUUGUGAUAUAUGUGAAGAAAAAAGAAAACCCAAGCAUAGUGUUUAUUGUUGCAAGAAAUGCAAAUUUGUUGCUCACAUCGAAUGUGUACUCAAUAAGGUAAAGAGAAAUUUACUCUCUCUCUAAACAAAUUUAAUAAAUGAUUUUUUUAUUAGAUAAUCUAUUAAUUAUUUGAUCAUAGGUCACAUAUACUGUGCCAUUUAGAAAAAUUUUGAUGUUAAAUAGUUUCACUUCCCCAGGUUAUAGAUAUAAAACUUGAUCAAAGUGUGACCUCUAGUUUGUUGGAUGGCGAAGCUUCAACAUUGAAGGUGGUGUAUGUUGAUAUUAUUGUGAUGCUUUCACUUGCCAAUAAUUUUUUUUUGAAGGUUACAUCACUUUAGGUCUUUUAUAAUUCCUUGGAUUUAUAUAUUAUAAAGAUUUUUUAGUAAUAAACACUAUUUACGUUUUUGAAUAAAAUUUAAUGAAAAAAAAACUAAAAAAUGUAAAUAACAUAGGUAAGAAACCUCUACUUAUAUAGCAGUAUUCAAAAUCAAUUUGAAGAAGGCUUUAGUAAAAAUAUUGAAUGUUGAAUAAAAUAAAAACAUAUACGUGCAUCAUGUUAAUUUAUGAACAUAUAUAUUUGAUUAUUUAAUUAUUACUUCCAUAUUUUAGUUUUAUUUUAAAUUUUCAUUUUUUUUACUUUUCAAACAAAAAUAAAGAGUAAAUUUUACUAUUAAUUUUGACCUAUUUGUAAUUUUUCGUUUUCAUUUGCCAUUUUGAAUUUGUUUCAAAUCCAUCUGUAUAUUAACAUGCCAAUAAAAUGGAAGUGAAAUUUGUCACGUAAAUUCCACAUAUUAUGUGAAUUAUGUGAAAGUAGUCACAUGGACAUAACUGUAGUGUUUAGAUGGCAAAUUCGUUCCAUAUUUAAUAGUGUAUUGAUGGAUAGAUGAAUUUAAAAUAAAUUCCAAAAGAUGUAGAUGAAAAAAAUCGAGUUUGUUUAGUCAUAAAUGAAAAUAAAAUAUUAUGACAAUUUACAAAUUAAGGAUGCACUCUGCUUAACAAAUGGUGGAAGAUUAGUAACUUUCUUCACUCAACCUGGUUGUGCAGCCGCAGAUUGAACAUUUUGAUCAUCAACAUCCCUUGAGCUAUAAUGGGGCAAUUGAACGGAAUGAAAGUCUUCUCUGCAAUGCUUGCUGUCAAGAAAUUUUUGAUCAACACUAUGCUUGUGGAGAUUGUAAAUACUACUUACAUGAAACGUGCACUGCAUUGCCGUUUGAGGUGUCACACCCUUUUCAUUGCCAGCAUCCUCUCAAGCUCUUCACAGAUAUAGUUGAAUUUACAUGUCAUGCAUGUAGGGAACAUUCUAGUGGGUUUGCUUACAUGUGCCUUCCAUGUGAUUUCCAACUUGAUGUAAACUGUGCUACCACUCCAAUCCCACAAAAAAAUGAGGGGCAAAAGCUGAAAGAGAUGGAGAAAGUUUCCAAGUUGUGCCCUUUCAAUCAAAAUCAUAAGCUAGAUUUCUUCAAUCGUAGAUCCAGUCUCAAAGAUUUGGCUUUGGAAUGCGAUGCUUGCAAGCUACCAAUCUUGGGUCCAGGUUAUACAUGUCGUGAUUGUUUCAAUAUCAAAAUUCAUGAAUCUUGUCUUGCAUUUAUGCGGGAGAUGCAGCUCAACUUUCAUCCAUUACACCCCCUUCAUCCACAAAUCGGCGAUUGGGAAAAUUGUUUUGCCUGUAGAUUUAAAAUCAUUGAAAGUAUCGGUUAUAGUUGUCGACAGUGUGAUUUCCACCUUCAUCUUCAUUGUGCUAAUUCCCUGAAGCUGGCCUUAAAAAUUAAGUCUCACAUGCAUAAUCUCUAUUAUUUUGGGCCAGAUUAUGAGAAAUCUUACCAAUUAUGUAACAAAUGCAAAAGUUACAUUGGUAAGGAACCUUUCUAUUAUUGCGUGGAGUGCAAUAUGAAUUUGCACUUAAAAUGUGUUCCCAUACCAUGUUCAGUUAAAUCCAAAUAUCACAUGCAUCGUUUGACUCUUAAAAAUCAUUUUGUGGAAGAUGAUUCUGGAGAAUACUAUUGCGACAUUUGCGAAGAAGAAAGGAACUCAAAAAAUCAUUGCUAUUAUUGUGAAGAGUGUGUUGGACAAUUUGUUGCUCACAUCGAAUGCGUGCUUCUUACAGUAAGUUUAUCACUAUCAUUUUCUUUGUAGAAUUUUUUUAUACCAUGUUAUUGAAUUUUUUAAAGGAAAAUAAGAAUCUAAAUUACACAUCACAUGAUUGUAUCCACCACCUCUUUGAUUAAUUGGACUUUAUUAAUGGUUAAAGUACCUCAUAGGUCCAUAUACUAUAGAUUUUUCGUUAAUUUAAUCUCUUUACUCAAAACUGGUUAAUUUAUUCUCUAUAUUUUGAGAUAUUAUGUAAUUGACUCAUUUUGCUUAACUCCAUUCAAAUUAACCAUUAGUGGUGCUGGUGUCGCAUUGACAUGCAAGAUAAAAGAAAAAAAAAGAAAUUGGCCAUGUGGCAUUUGUUUCUUUCCUCAUUUGUUCAAAACUACAUUGUUUUAGAGUACCAUUUAAAGCACAUUUAGGUUUUAUUUUUCAUUUUCCUUCUUUCCUUCUUUCUAGCUCUCUUAUCUCUCUAGAUUCCGACACCUAAAUGAAAAUUUUGGCUAUCGUUCAUUAAUGGUAUGAAAAUCUAAUAAAAAAUAAAAAAAUUCAUUUUUUUUGGCCUUAUUUCCCAAAAUUAGGAUAGCUUUUUCAAAAUCUAUCUUGAUUUUCCUAGAUCUAAAAUAAUGAAACUGUAAAAAAGAAAUUUGUUUCUUUCCACUAAUGUGUCCUCAACUUGAUGUUAAUGAUCAAGGGUUGUGUUUUUCAUGUUGUAGGAUUUUGAAUUUGCAGAUGGAAAUUUUCAUGAAUUUUCCAACUUGAAAGAUGCUGACUCACCUAUUGAGAGUUCCUCUAUGGAUAAGUUGCUUUCCCAGCCCCAUGCUGAAGUUUACUUGAAUCAAAACAGAAUGGUAGUUAAGUCCUAUAUAAGUUUAUUUUAAAGAUCUCAUCUUAAUGCGAAAAUGAAUUUUAUUUUAUGAAUAGUUGAAUGGAAGAAAAGUUUCACGAUUUUGUGGGUGCCAUUGUUGUUGCAGAAGUACUGGGUGGAUAAGAAGUUAAGCAAAUACUGCUUCAUGUUGUUUGCAAGAGAUCUUUCAAUCUGUUGGGCGGAAAACCACCUUUACUGGCGCUGGUCAUACCAAAGAGAAACAAACAGGUUAGCAUAGAUUUAUUAUUCAUUUAGAAUCCUUCAUAGUUCUAGCUCGAGAGCUUUCCUAAUCCAUAAACUUUUGAUUUUGCAGUGAUGUGUUGAUUGAUGUUGUCGAACUUCUAGAUGUGUGGUGGCUAGAAAUGCAUGUGAAAUUCAAUGUAAAAAAACUCUCACCAAAAACAUUGUAUGGACUUGUGUUCGUGCUUAUGUUGGCAAAAGAAGCAUGUGGAUGGGAACACCCAGUGAACGUCGGAUUCACUCUUCCAAAUGGGUACAAGGUUGAAUGCAAGGAAAUUUUGAUGACCAAGCCAACAGGAGUGUGGAUAGAAAUCCCUGUCGGAGAAUUUACAACUUCAUUUGAAAUUGCUGGAGAAUUAGAUAUUUACUGUCACCAAUAUGAUGAAUUGAUAAGGAAGAGAGGACUUAUUGUUAAAGGAGUUGCUAUUCUACCAAAGAAUUAAGUUAUAAGUUAGUAUUUUGUCAUAGUAAAUAUGAAAGUAUUAUAGUUUUUUUAUUUGUUCAUAAUCCUGCAAAUACCAAAAUGACCUUAACACUGGAACCAGUUUUUCGGUUCUCAUUAUACAAUAUAGGUUCCAUGCUAAAUGCAGCAAACAAGCCCGUUGAUUGGGUUUUUUGUAUUUUUUAUUAGAUUUUUGGACCACUACUGAUCAGCGGUCAGUGAUCGAAAUCUGGGUUUGGCGAUCAAAAUUUGGGAUGGAAGGAUUGGAUAGAAAGUGAGAGAGAGAAGAGUGUUAGAGAGAGAAGGAAGGAAAAUGAAAAAAAAAAAAACUAAAUGUGCUUUAAAUAGUAAGCUUAAAACGACGUAGUUUGAGACAAAAAAGAGAAGAGAGAAAAAUAAAAGCGACAUGAUCAAUUUUUUUUAUUAGUUUAACACGCCACUUCUACGUUAGCACUUUUUGAUAUGUCAGUGCGACGUUAAUACCACUAAUGGUUAAUUUGAAUGGAGUUGAGCAAAGAGAUUCAAUGGUACAAAAUAUGAGAGUACAAGGACUAAAUUAACUAGUUUUGGAUAGUUGGACUAAAUUGACAAAAAAAUCUUUAGUAUAAGGACCUAUGAGGUACUUUGACCAUUAAUAAAUUCUAAUCAACAAAAGAUGUGGUGGAUUUGAUCAUGUGAUGUGUAUGUGUAAUUUAGAUUCUUAUUUUCUUUUAAAGAAAUUCAAUAAUGUGGUAUAAAAAAUUUCUACAAAGAUAGAAAAAUAUUGUUAGCACCUCAACAUUUUUUAAAACCUUUUCAGCACUUUAAAGCUUUGUCCAUUAAUUAAUCAGCUUGUUUUAGGCAUGUUCUCAUAGUAACACAAGUCUUUACGCUGUAUAGAACCUUUUGUUUCUUUUUAACCUCCUGCAAUCUUGAGCAAGGCUGGUUGUGUAUACAGGGGAGCAUAGUGGUAUAUCCCAGCACAGUUGUGUAUAUAGGGAGAUGUAUGCCUAAGCUGUAGGGAUGGUUUUUGUUCACCUACUCUUUUGUAUAUUGAUUUUGCUUAAAGUAUAAAGGUAUAGAAUUUUUAAAAAAAGAUACAAAAUUGUGGCUUAGCAUCUUGAUAGCCACAUUUGGAAUAAAAAGGUAGCAAUUAAAAAAAGUAUUUUAUCUUUAAUGAUGAGUAAGCUUUCUUUGGCCUUUUUCAUUUUAUAUUCUCUCAAUAAUUUCCUUCUUUAAAUAGAGAAAAAAAAUGUUGACAGGGCAUGAAGCACAUGCUAUUUUCUUGUUUUUGGUAUAAAGGCUUGAGGGAAUCUUUGUUUAGGUUUUACAUUUAAACGCCCUCUCUCAUCAAGAGGCUAGUAGUUGAUCAUCUCUCUCUCUCUCUUCAUCUACCUAAAUUUAUUUCUUCGUUUGUUUGAGAAAACAAGGCAGAGAUUGUUCUGCUAUGGGCAUAUUCUAUACUUGUUUUUGACAGAAAUUUAGUACCUCCUCAAGUCCUUAACCAUCUUGGUGCUGCAAAGAGGGGGUUGUAGCUAGAAAUUAACAACAUAAAAGAUGAAAGCAAGGUUGUUGAUGUGAAUGAUUUAGCUUGGUUUGGGUUAUACAAGGCGCAACAAUUCUUUGAACGUCAAAUACACUUUCCUAUAUUUAAGCUUAUUCUUCAUAAUGUGUAGCACUGCAGGGCAUUUUAUUCAACUAUAUUUUGGUUAGAUUGUAGGGGAAAGAAAGGUAGAGAAAAAGACACAAAGGCGAGAAACAUUUUUAGACAAUGAUUCAAAAUUUAAUUUCAUUAAUAAGUUAAAAAAUUACAGCAAACUGUAAAAAAGAUCAAAAAUUUUUUUGUCUGCUCCUUUUAUUCUCUAUUGGCCAGAAGAGAUGUGCAUUCUUGAACUAGUGAUUUGCAAAUAAGUGACUGCUUUUCCUACAUACCUUUGAGUUGAAUGACCAUGUACUUAUCCAUUCUGUAUAUUUCAACAAAUUUAUGUUAAUAUUCAAGUUUCUAAUAUUUGAAUGAGUUUAUAUUUGAUGCAUUAACAGUGUCUAUAAGAUACAUUGUCAGUGUAUUAAAUAUAAAUCUUAUUUAAAUAAAUUAAGAGUACAUAGUUAAGAAUUACAGGGAGUUUAAUUUGAGAUAGUAGCUUUUUGUAUGUAAGAAGAAAAAGAAGAUUUUGCUGCUUUUUAUUAUUUGUUUUUGUUAAUUUUAUUGUGUCAGCUUGGUUUUAUGUCAACAGCCCUAUCAAUUCAUCAUGGUUAGUGAUCAACAGCUUCAAUAACGAUGCUUCCCAAGUUUAAAAGGGAAAAUAGGAGAUUCCAAACUUAAAACCUUCAUGUCCUUGAGGCUUUUCUUGUUUCUCUGUCCUUUUCUAUUUGCUGUUUUAGUUGCAAAAUUGUGGAAGUAGCAUCUUGAUUGCCACAUUUUUCAUAAAAAAGUACCAAUUUAAAGAAACAUUUUAUCUUUAAUGAUAAGUAAGUUUUCUUUGACCUUUUUCUUUUUCUCAAAAGACAAAGAGAAUAGUAUUCCAUAAAAAAGGAUAUGUGUUAAUUAAAUUAUUUGAAGGCAAGAAAUUAAGAUUAGUAUCAGUAUUCGUUUCCAAAUUCUCACAAUUAUUUCGUUCUUUAAAUAAAGAAAAAAAUAAUAUUAUUUUUGAUCACUCACUUGAUUAAUUAAUUUGAAUUGUCAUUGCAUUAGUACAAUGAAUCGUAAUCACAAUAUACGCGCGACUUGUUUUCAUUGUGCAAGUAAUUAUUGUAUAACUAAAGCAAAAAGAAAGUAAUUGCUAUAUAACAUUAUUUUACCUAAAGGGAAAUAUUUAAUUAAAGAAAAAAUAAGUAAUCCCAAACUUAAAACCUUUAUCCUCUUAAAAACCAAUUAAUAGAGUAAUGCUGAUUCUCUAUAAAGUGAUUUGAUUUCAAAAUGCCAAAGGUCCUUGAUGCUUUUCUUCUUGUUUAAACGAAACACUCCCCUUGCUAAACUAAAGUGAGAAUCAAUUAAGUAUGGUACAACUUAUAGAUACAUUUAUGCCACCAGUAAUACUUUGUUUCAGAAUUAUCUUUCCUUUUUAGAAACAAUAAAGAUGAAUUAUAUAUUAAAAAAGAGAAGGAUAAGAGUAUUCCUUUACAACCAGUCAAAAAAAAACCCACGACUACAUCAAAAACAGCCAAUGGGGCUUAAAAAUUUGGGUAGACCAGUACUUACCUUAGGUCCUGCCAAGUAGUAUUAAAAAGAAAAUAUUACAAAAGGUAAGAAAACCAUAACAAAAGGACCUGUACAUAAUCUUUUCCUAGAAGAAGGAUCCAAAAAAGGGUUCAAUCAAUAUCCCUUAAAAAAAAAGCAGUAUAAACGAAGAAACAUCAAUGGUUCCCAUGAAGUUAGCAGCGAGCAUUGUGAUGCACAACAAAAGUAAAUAAAGCAGGGGACAGAACACGUCACACUAGGUUAAUAUUCUUCUCCGGGGCUGGCAUGGAGUCGUUGAUCCGAAGCAAAUCUGUUGAUCUUGAGACACCUUCUUUGGCUAGCUUGUCAACUUCUUCAUUAGCAGAACCAAAAAUGUGUUUCAUCUCCCAUCUUCCAAUCUUACGAAGAGUAUUAAAUGUUUGAAUUAUCAGAGUCUUCGCUCUCCAUAUCUUCUUUUUGUCUUUCUUAAUAUUAAUCACUUUUACAAAGAAUUUAAUUUUAAUUUUACAUUUGAAUUGUUGCGCUAGGGUAUGGCCGUAGAGGGGUCAACUUGAUGUAAGUUAAGCAACUUGGAUUUACAGCAUAGAACUCAACUAAAUUCCAACAAAGAUUAGUUCCUAGCCCGUACAGAAAAUUUGUAUAUGUUACUUGACUGAUUUACAUUGAAGAAGUAAAUUUGCAUAUCACCCACAUUAUAAACUAAUCAAUUACUGAAAAUAAGAAAUUACCACUAGUGCUUGCUAAAUCUCAUAAAUAAAUCAUCUUAAUAAGCAAUAACUAUGUAUGGGAGGGCUAAUUAUUGUAGUUAACAUUCCUUGAAUUUUACCUCAAAAUUUGUGUUAAUAUUCUAGGUUGUGAUCAAGUCAAAUAUUCAAGUUUCUAACAUUUAAAUAGAUUAGGAGUACUUCAUGAAUGAAGGGGUUUAAUUUGAAGUAAUAGCUUCAAGUAUAGAAGAAAAAAAACAAAGAUUAUGCUGCUUAUUUUUUUUUAUAUUUUCUUGUCUUAGGUUGAUUUUAUGUCAACACUCCUAUCCACUAUUCGGUAAUUUUGGACGUGUGUAUUUCUGUAGCAAUGUUUAUGAAAUGGUUUGGACAGCAUUGAUAGCUGUGGAUCAUGAGACAUAUAUACACUUUGGACAGCUAUUUAUUGAGACGUGCUGGAAGGUGAUUUAAUUAUUUCUGUUGAUUGGGUUAUGUUUUCAGAGAUUGGGCGGAUUUGUUAAAGAGUCCAACUGGACCUAUUUAUCCCCAAAGUUGAGUUUAAUUUUGGCAUUUGGCAUGUGGCAUUGCCAAAGCUCCUCAAGGAAGAGCACUAUGCGAUGAGUGAAGGCCAAAUAAAUAAGAAGAAAAAAGAAAGAAAGAUAGUACACAUCUUGUCAUCACUCAUCAAUUAGACAUUCCAUCCCUCACCAACCCAACGUCCUUGGACAACUUCUUCCACAUAUGUUGUCCAAUAAAAAUCACUCCAGUGUCUCGCAUUGCUUGAAAAGAAAAAAAAAGACUCCCACGUCCUACCGUAUUGGCGAUUGCUACUAUCGUUCUCCACCGCCCGCUUGGUGGCGCCUAUACAGCCACCACCACCACCACCACCAUUUGCAAUUCUCCUGAUUCAGAAUUCUUAUUGCAUUACUACUGUUGGAAAAGUGUUUGAUAAACAACUUUCAGCUGGUAAGUUAGCUUCACUAUAACCUUUAUUAUCAAAAAUUUUUUACGCAUUGCCUUUGGAUUACAAAGCAUCCUGGUCAAAUUGUUUCCGUAGUGACGUAGAAGUUGUCAUUCAAGAAAAAUUACAAGGACGAAUUAUAAAGCAUUUUAAUUCUCAUGGUUUUUUUCUUUAAAGAUUGAUUUUGGGUUCAACUUUAAGAAAUUGUCUUCCACUUGUUCAUUGUUAAAAAACAGGGUCGGAAGAGAAGCAGCUUCAACAUCAUCCACUUGUUCAGUCAACCAAUAAUUAACUGCUGUUUUCAUUAAUCAAUUUACAUUCGAGAAACAACAAAAACAAUGGCAAAAGCACUUCUUUCCAUGAUCCUGGAGCAGCAGUUGGGUGGUUCGUUCAUUCCUCAAGGGAUAAAGCAUCAUGUCGGAUUGGCUGUAGGUCUUGAAGAAGAAAUCCAAAAACUCACCAGCAACUUUGAGGCCAUUAAAGCUGCGCUUGAAGAUGCGAAAGGAUAAACCAAACAGGGCUUGCCUAACCCAAGGCGCGGAGGAUAAGGCAUACCGAUGUGGAUGCGGCCCAUAUCCCAAGCUGUUUCCCCACAGACCCUCCAACAGUGUCCCAUAACUCUAAUCCUACAUCCACCACGGAAGAAUUACAAGACUCCCAAGGAGCGGAGGACGGCAAUGGAGGCAGCUGGCUCCGAUUCCGAUGGCAGAGAAUUCAAGAACCCACAGGAAAUGUGGAGGAAGCAAAUUGGAGAUGCAGAUGAAGGAGAUAACCAUAAGAAGACUCAGUGGUACCGUGAAGGCGUUGCCUAUUGGGAAGUAAGUCUUUCUUAACUCUGGUUCUUACAUUUGUAUGUGGGUACCAUUACCGAACUCAUAGUAUAGUUAUUGGUUUCUUUGGUUGUGCUAAGAGAAGGGUGUGGAGGCAUCGGUAGAUGGGGUGUUGGGUGGAUUUGGGCAAGUAAAUGAGGCAGAUGUCAAGGGUAGUGAGGUUUUUCUCAAUACCCUUUUGCAUGAAAGAUUCUCGAUGGCGGUGGAAGAAAUCACCAUCUUGUUGCUCUUGGUACUUCUCUGUCUCUCUCUGUGUGCUCAACUUUAUAUUGUUUUUAUGAAGUUAUAUACCCAUAUAUGUUCUGUUGAGGUAGUUUGGUUUAUGUUAUUAUGAUUAUUUUUUUACACUAAAAAUGAACCUUAGGUUAUUAUGCGCCAUUAAAUGUGGAAGUGCAAAGUUGGUGAUGGGAUCCUACUUCAUUAGAAUGUAACAUUGGUGGAAAACCUAAUUAACUAUAAAUUAAACAAAAAAACAUAGUGGUGACAGCAGAUAGGGAUGGUGUGAUGGAUGAAAUUUUGAGUUAAAUAUCCGCAAUUAGUGCUUGAAACCGGAAACCAAGAUGACUUGAUAACACAACCAUGAAAAGUUUAUGUCCCAUAAUCCCAACCCAUAAAGGAAAAUAAAUAAAUAAAGAAGAGAAAGGCAUGGAAAUUUGGAUGAAUAUGCAAGAAGCAUGUCAUGCAUUAGAGGUCUUGCUUUGAUUUAGAAUGCCAGCGUUAUAGGUGUUGCAACUAUUUAGAAUGCCAUAAUGCAAUUGAGAAUUGGGUUUACUACAUGCUAUUUUGCUUAAUAAAAAACCAUCUUUAAGCAAUAUUUUUUUUUAAAUGGGGAUUUUUUUAAAGCCCUUUUAAAUAACAUGUUUUUGUAAAAGGCCGACAGGAUACUUUUAACUAUUUUUAGCCAUCAGAAAAGAUUUUGGGAUAAAAAUACCCUUAAUGAGCCGUCUUCGUUAGCGUACACUCUCAAACAGGCGAAAAAUGAGAAAAAAAAAUAUGCAAAGAUUUGUUGUGCAAAAUACCCUUUUUUUUUCGAAGGUUGUGCAAAACAAAAUAAAGUUACAUGAGAUGGUUUUUUAGAGAUUUUGGACAUGGCAUUCGGAUAAUAGGAGAAGAGAGAUAUUAAAUCAAACGAGGAACAGGUCUUCAUGAAUGGAAAGCUUGGCUAAUGAUGUGAAACCAGAAAUCCUUGAUACGGUGGUAAAUUGAAAGGAGAAAGAUGUGAAUCCAAGCAGGAAAUGGUCCUGCUAUAGCAGGCCAUAUGUUAGAUGGCUGUCGCAGGGCAGGUCAGGGUUUAAAGUUUGUGAAACGUCAUGUUGGGAAUGUAUGACACGACACCGCUCAGAGUUGGUGAGACGCCAUUGAGGGAAUCUAUGACACGCUAGAGUUAAGAGUUGGUGACANNNNNNNNNNNNNNNNNNNNNNNNNNNNNNNNNNNNNNNNNNNNNNNNNNNNNNNNNNNNNNNNNNNNNNNNNNNNNNNNNNNNNNNNNNNNNNNNNNNNNNNNNNNNNNNNNNNNNNNNNNNNNNNNNNNNNNNNNNNNNNNNNNNNNNNNNNNNNNNNNNNNNNNNNNNNNNNNNNNNNNNNNNNNNNNNNNNNNNNNNNNNNNNNNNNNNNNNNNNNNNNNNNNNNNNNNNNNNNNNNNNNNNNNNNNNNNNNNNNNNNNNNNNNNNNNNNNNNNNNNNNNNNNNNNNNNNNNNNNNNNNNNNNNNNNNNNNNNNNNNNNNNNNNNNNNNNNNNNNNNNNNNNNNNNNNNNNNNNNNNNNNNNNNNNNNNNNNNNNNNNNNNNNNNNNNNNNNNNNNNNNNNNNNNNNNNNNNNNNNNNNNNNNNNNNNNNNNNNNNNNNNNNNNNNNNNNNNNNNNNNNNNNNNNNNNNNNNNNNNNNNNNNNNNNNNNNNNNNNNNNNNNNNNNNNNNNNNNNNNNNNNNNNNNNNNNNNNNNNNNNNNNNNNNNNNNNNNNNNNNNNNNNNNNNNNNNNNNNNNNNNNNNNNNNNNNNNNNNNNNNNNNNNNNNNNNNNNNNNNNNNNNNNNNNNNNNNNNNNNNNNNNNNNNNNNNNNNNNNNNNNNNNNNNNNNNNNNNNNNNNNNNNNNNNNNNNNNNNNNNNNNNNNNNNNNNNNNNNNNNNNNNNNNNNNNNNNNNNNNNNNNNNNNNNNNNNNNNNNNNNNNNNNNNNNNNNNNNNNNNNNNNNNNNNNNNNNNNNNNNNNNNNNNNNNNNNNNNNNNNNNNNNNNNNNNNNNNNNNNNNNNNNNNNNNNNNNNNNNNNNNNNNNNNNNNNNNNNNNNNNNNNNNNNNNNNNNNNNNNNNNNNNNNNNNNNNNNNNNNNNNNNNNNNNNNNNNNNNNNNNNNNNNNNNNNNNNNNNNNNNNNNNNNNNNNNNNNNNNNNNNNNNNNNNNNNNNNNNNNNNNNNNNNNNNNNNNNNNNNNNNNNNNNNNNNNNNNNNNNNNNNNNNNNNNNNNNNNNNNNNNNNNNNNNNNNNNNNNNNNNNNNNNNNNNNNNNNNNNNNNNNNNNNNNNNNNNNNNNNNNNNNNNNNNNNNNNNNNNNNNNNNNNNNNNNNNNNNNNNNNNNNNNNNNNNNNNNNNNNNNNNNNNNNNNNNNNNNNNNNNNNNNNNNNNNNNNNNNNNNNNNNNNNNNNNNNNNNNNNNNNNNNNNNNNNNNNNNNNNNNNNNNNNNNNNNNNNNNNNNNNNNNNNNNNNNNNNNNNNNNNNNNNNNNNNNNNNNNNNNNNNNNNNNNNNNNNNNNNNNNNNNNNNNNNNNNNNNNNNNNNNNNNNNNNNNNNNNNNNNNNNNNNNNNNNNNNNNNNNNNNNNNNNNNNNNNNNNNNNNNNNNNNNNNNNNNNNNNNNNNNNNNNNNNNNNNNNNNNNNNNNNNNNNNNNNNNNNNNNNNNNNNNNNNNNNNNNNNNNNNNNNNNNNNNNNNNNNNNNNNNNNNNNNNNNNNNNNNACAGCAUUUUACUUGAUAUGCAUGUCGUGUCACAGAAUUUUACUUGUUAUGCAUGGCGUUUGACAGCAUUUUACUUGUUAUGCAUGGCGUUUAACAUCAUUUUACUUGAUAUGCAUGUCGUGUCACAGAAUUUUACUUGUUAUGCAUGGCGUUUGACAGCAUUUAACUUAAUAUGCAUGGCGUGUUACAACAUUUUACUUAUUAUGCAUGGUGUGUCACAACAUUUUACUUGUUAUGCAUGGCGUGUCACAACAUUUUGAUUGCAAUGCAUGGUGUGUCACAACAUUUAUUCCUUAUAUAUGUGUUCAGUGUACCUUGUUGCACAUGACUGCUUAACUCUCUGGUGUAUGUGUGCCAUAUUUUGCAGAUCCAACGCAGAGAGUAUGAGGAUCUUGAGAGUUUGCUGAUCGUGCCGAGGGAGAAGUAGGCGUUCAAUGUCGCAAUUAACACUCACUAUAAGUGGUCGCAGCUGCAUUCCAUCACAAAGACUCUCUAACAGAAGGGGGAGUACGAUCCAGUUAAGCGUACCUGCUUCGGAAUGCUCUUGGACGUAUAUCCACAGGGGUACUUUUACGUCGGUCUCUUGCACAACAUCAUGAUUCACCGGAUCACUGAGAGGCAGUCAAUGGACCACGAGCUAUGGUUUGCCAUUGGCAAGAGCAAGGCGCGACUAUCAAAGCGGGAGUUCUGUCUCAUCACCGGGCUGAAGUUUGGUCCAAUGCCCGAUGUGUUCAGACGAUCAUACGAGGUUGCUGCAGAUGGAAUUCAUGCAAGAUACUGGAACGGGGAGGACAGCGUUAAGCUGCAGGCUUUGCUUGAUACCUUCCGCGGGGGUAACUUUCAGCGACCAAGAGAUGCGACCAAGAUGGCACUCGUCUUGAUCGCGAAUAACAUUUUAUUUGGUCAAGACUACCAUAGACGGGUGACGCCUUAAUUGCUGUCAUUGGUGGAGGACAUCGACGUUUGGAAUGUCUUCCCAUGGGGGCACUAUGUUUGGAAACUGACCUUGGACUACCUUUUGAAGGGGUUCGAAGUUCCUGACUUGAGCGUGACAAAGGAAACUCGGUUACGUUACAACAUUUACGGAUUCGCAUGGGUGAUACAGGUACUAAAACGUAACAUUUUUCAAUUUCCUUUCGAAAAAAAAAUUUAUGGGUGUAGUCGUUUAUGAUUGACGGUCUGAUAAUGGUUACAUUUGGCAUGCAGUUAUGGGCAAUGGAGACAAUUUCGGCCCUCCGAAAAAUAGUUGCCCUCUCUGGUCAGAAGGACAACGUCCACCCAUGAAUGUGCAGAUGGGAUUGCAAUCAGAAGCCAAAAGACUUCUACAGGACAAUUCAGAAGUUAGAGUCAUCUGACCAAGUGAGUGAACAACUGUUAAUUUUUACGUUAUAUUUGUAAAAUAAUUUUCCUUAUUCGAUAAUGACAACAUUUUAUUUGUUUAUUUGUAGUUGUGGGCACUGGAGGCGUUGUAACCCACCACGGAUGAGGCCCUCCGGGAGUAUUUUGUGGACCUUGAUGUCCCGUUAUCAGAGGGCAACGAGUACGUGCCAAUAGGGCACAUGGAGGAUCGGUCAGCUUGGGGCUUAGGUGCGAGGCUAAAAAGGAAAAGCUUGAAGGAGAAAAGAGCCUCUGGUGGCACGAAGAGGAUGCACACCGCCGCUGCUUUAGUUGAUGAGUUGAUGGAUGAAGGGGACGACCAUGGUCAAGGCAGUGAACAGCCAGUAAGGACAAUUGUAACAGUUUUGUGUUCUCCAAUUCCAUUUGUGAUUAUCGAAUAACAUUUCUGUGUUUGCGGUUGGACCAUGGGUCGGCAGCUCCAGAACCACCCACCGGUCUUCCUCAAAUGCAAAGUGGAAACGACCUGUCGGUAAGAUCGGUUCUAACGGUUUGUGUUCUACAUUCUCACAUAUGUUUAUCGAGUAACACAGUAAUUUAUGUAAUUGCAGUUUACGGAAGCGACGACAGGUCCUCAAGCACCGAUAGGUCCAGCUCAACCGCAGACUGCUAACUAGCCGGCGGUAAGGAUAUUAAAGUUAUAACAAUUAAUGUUCAACAAAUUCAUACAUGAUUAUUGAAUAACACAAUUAAAUAUGUAAUUGCAGUAUGCGGAAGCGACAAUAGGUCCUGAAGCACCAAUCGGUUCGGCUCCACCGCAGACUGCUAACGAGCCGCCGGUUAGGAUAUUAAAGUUGUAACGGUUAAUGUUCAAUAAUUCCAUAUAUGAUUAUUGAAUAACAUAAUUAUAUAUGUUAUUGUAGUUGACCUAGUCGAGAACAGUCAAUGACGGAGCAGUCACAACUCGCCAGCUCCGAUGGAUCAUGCGCAAGCAUGAAAAAGAUAUGUUGGAGCUGAAGGCUUCAAUUCAGUCAUUGAGUGUAGCAAUGUAGACGAUUGAGGACCAUAUUGUUGGUCGGAUUCUUGACGGCCUUAAAUCACAAGUACGCUAUUCUAUCUUCGCUUGUAUUUUGAUGGUUUACGUUUAGCAACUAUUUAGACUGUGUUUUCUUGAUGGUUUUAACUGCUUUUUGGUCAUUAGCGGGUCAAGACAUUUCUAUUAUAGUUAGUUGUUGUCGUGUCAGCUUUAGCGUGUCACAACAUUAUAUAUGUUAUUUAUGGCGUGUCACAACCUUUGAUUUUGAUAUGCAUGGCGUGUCAGAACAUUUUGCUUGUUUUCCUUGGCGUGUCACCAAGUUUAUCUUGUUAUGCAUGGUGUGUCACAACAUUUUCCUCAUUAUCCUUGGCGUGUCACCAAGUUUAUCUUGUUAUGCAUGGCGUGUCACGACAUUUUACUUGUUUUGCAUGACAUGUGACAACAUUUUACUAUUUAUGGGUUGUGGUAUUUUAUAAGCUAACUAACUGUUUUUCCAAUUUUGUAGGGCGGUCCAUCUCACAGUGCUGGUCUGGAGCACGAUGAUGCUGAUGAUGGACAACAUCAUGAACUUGGUGUUGACAUUGACGAUGACGUUUUUGGUGCUGAUGGAGAGCACGUAACUCAUGUAGAUGACGUCGUCGAAGAAGCUGUGGCAGUGGAUGUCACCCUUCAGUCAGAUGCUGAAGGAGAACAUCUUCCUCCGGCCUAUGCAUUCAUCGACGCAGCAGCAGGAGCUAUCGUUCAUUAUCGUGAGAGCACUCCUGAUACAGUUGAGAUACGGUUGUCGUCACCAGAGUCAUUUGCUGUCCAUCAUGGUGCAACAAAAGUUUCAAACCCAACUGAGCGGGCACGGUUGAAAAUGGUGAACAAAUACAUGGCAAGCCCAUUCGUCGACCCCUUAGUGACCCGUCGAAAUGUGAGGGAUAAUAUAGGAAAAGACUACGAAGCUUUCAAGAAAGAGGAGUCUGCGAGGUAAGCUCAUAAAUAAAAUUGCAAAUAUUGUUUUUCAAUGAAACAGUUAUCCACCAAGACUUAUGAAAUUAAUUAUGUUACAUAUGCAAGUGUAACAUCGGCAUCUUAGGGGAUCAAGGGGCUGACUUUUUCAUAACCUUAGAGGAUCCUAAUAAGGAAAUGACAAGUGAACAUAUCGACGCAUGCCUCAGCCUAUUCUGCAAGCGGAUGACAGGGCCGAAGUCGAAGUUGUACACUACCCGUGCAUGCAUGGUUGACACGAUAUUCUCCGUAAGUUUAUUUGAAAAUUGUUCAAUUCUAUAAAUACUAAGUUUUUGAUUGCAUGAAGUGUAAGCUAAUAUUUACAUGUUUUACAAGACACCAUCCGUAUACUACACACAGAAUUUCCAACAGAAGAUGCCCAAGCCAAAAUGUAAAUUCGAUGAGUUGCGGGGCUAUGUGGAGGGUGAAAGGCCAACGUACGCCAAAAAAUGGAAAGAUGUUGAUUUCAUCAUCGUGCCUUGCAACGUUGGUGGGCAUUGGGUGGUUGCGAAGAUCGACUUGGUGAGGUGGACGAUCAAGGUUGUGGACGAAGCAAUAACUUCGAAUGCUAAGGAUAACGGAGUUCGUGCGGGUCAGAUGACACCCUUGACGACAAUGAUGCCAUUAAUCUGCCACCAAGCCGGUUAUUUCAACAACAUACGUAGGAAGAGACGGGAUUUGACACCGAUGCCAUUGGAUAUUCAUUUACCAAAAACUAAAGUGCAUUGGCAGAAUGAUAGUGUCAGCUGCGGUAUGUUCAUGAUAGGGUACAUCGAGCAUAUUUUGCAAUCAGAAAAGAUCAGAAUUAAGCAGAAUAUGAUUGCAAAAAUGCGUCGGCAAUAUGCUCUGGAAAUUUUUUCCAACAAUUGGGAGAGUGAACCUUGAACAUAUAGGCCCUUGUUUGUAUAAUUUUUUUGGUACACAUAAAUUUUUUUAUACAAUUCAUUUUAUACACAUUUUUUGUACACACUUUUUAUUGAAUACAAUUCAUUGUAAACAGAUAUAAUUCUUUCUGUAUACACAAUAUACUUUGUAUAAUUAUUUGAUACACAAUUAACUUUUUUGCCUAUACACAAUUAAUUUGAUACCAAUAAUUUUUUUUCUUUUCUAUAUACAAUAUAUUUAAUUUGAUACACAGUCGGAAGAAGUCAGCGUGUGACACCUUAAAUAUGAUACCACUCAACGUGUCCCAACAUACAUCUGCUUGCACUAAGCGUGUCACCCAAAAAUUUAGCAAUUAGUCAACGUGUGAUGCCGUAAAUCCACUAACACUCGGCGUGUCAGCCGAUAAAUAUACUUCCACUCAGCGUGUUAGAAGAAUUGGGCCGUCGUGUGUCACCCCAGGUUGGCAUUAAUUAAUUUCUAGGUUCGUCGUCUUUCUUUUCCAGGCACACCGGCUGCACCAACCCAACAUUACAUUGAUUAACAUUGAAUAUAUAGAUUUUUCCAUCCAUCUAAUUGCUUCCAGCAUGAAAUUGUUCUGUAUCCAUCCUCCCUUAUUUUUCCAGUUGUUUCCAGGCCAAAAUUCUAUCCUGCCAUUAUAAAAUCAUACGUCUAAAUUUACACACCAGAACUUGUUAUGCAUGGCGGGUUAGAACAAUUUAAUUGUUAUGCAUGGCGUGUCGGAACAUUUUGCUUGUUAUCCUUGGCGUGUCACAACCUUUUACUUGUUAUGCAUGGCGUGUCAGAACAUUUUGCUUGUUAUCCUUGGUGUGUCACAACCUUUUACUUGUUAUGCAUGGCGUGUCAUUUCAUUUUUCUUGUUAUGAAUGGCGUGUUACAAUAUUUUAUUUGAUAUGCAUGGCGUGUGACAACAUUUAACUUGUUAUGCAUGGCGUGUCUCACAUUUAUUCUUUAUUUAUUUCUUCUGUAUACCUUGUUGCACAUUAUGGCUUAACUCAUUGGUGCAUCUGUCCUAUGUUUUGCAGAUCCAACGAUAUAGUAUGAGGAUCUUGACAUUUUGUCUGCUCGGUAAUUCUAUGAGGCCUUUUUAGUUACGGACUUUGUUGCCAAACAUUUCAGACAGAUAAGCAAAUACAUGGCUCUUGUCUGAUAAAGAUUGUAAUUAGAAACAUUUUUUACAAACAAAUAAGAAUGUACUUUAACACGAUCUUGAUCAGAUAGAGGCCUUGACAUGCUUAUCUGCCUGAAAUGUUUGGCAACAAAGUCCGUAACUAAAAGUGCCUCAUAGAAUGAUCGAGCAGACAAAUCCGUAAAGCAAAACGAAUUCAACUACAAUUUUCAGAUACAUUUAGUUAGGCGGUCAGGCUGUCUUCAUUCACAACACAGCUUACAUUUUCAGACAUUCUCCUUCGUAUUGGACAGUUGUUGCGUGUGUGAUCGAUUUGUCUGCAACUUGAACAUGCUUUGGGUCGGCGCAGUCGUGGAGUCGCCGAUUGACUUGGAGAUGGUGCUGGAUUUAUGGAUGGAACUGCAAAUGGGUAUGGGCAGUUCUGUCUGUCAUGCCCGUACCUCUUGCAUUGCGAACAUCUCCGUGCUUGACUGCCUUCACCAGCUGAUGGAAUCCUUCUCCUCCUAGGUUUUUCUGUUUGGCCUCGCCAAGGUGAAGGUAAGACGACAAUUUGUUUCACAUGAGGGAGGAUGCCCCACUCACUAGAAUGCCCUACCGGCCUAAUGGAUCCUGAAUAACCCUCCACGAAAACGGUUGUCUUGUAGUAGUCAGCGCAAAAUUCAAUGGCUUCACGAUUGCAUUUACUGAAAAACACUAAAAACUCAAUCUUCAAGCACAAUGUAAAGGCUAUGUCAAUUACGGUUCAAAUAAGAAAUAAAUAUAUUCUGACCUUAUUACUGCAAUGGCAUGGCUGCAUGGCAGUAAAUCUGUUUGGAACUCACAACAUGAACACGUCUUCCUGGACAAGUUUACAAGUCCAUCCAUCUUCCCGUCUUUAACUUCAAACUUCACUCGAUUGAUAAGCUUAACUAGAAAGCGAUGUGCAUCAUUGAACCUUUUACUCAACUACCUGGCAACCCAAGGGCUGAGGGGCGUGGUCACCUUGACGGCCUCUUCGUACCGUUCAUGGAACCAACACUGGAACAUGUCUUUGAUGAACUCGAUCAAAACAGUGAUCGGCAUUUGUCUUGCAUGCUUCAAGCAUGAGUUAACACAUUUCGCAAUGUUGAAUGUCAUCAUUUGGUAUCGCCUUGUCGGUGAACAUGCACGUGCCCAUUUCUCAGGCCCUAUUCUUAUAAAGUUCGCGUGGGCUCUCAGGUGAAUCUGCUGUAUUUGGUUCAUAUGUCUGUUGAAAUCAGCCACCUUAUAGCAAUCUUAAGCAAGGGUGAAAAGCAUACAAACAUCGUCACGCUUGAACUUGUUUUUAAAAUUUUUUUUCAAGUGGUAACCGCAUAAACCAUGGUGCGCUUCUGGGUAUGCAUUUUGGAUUGCUUUCUUAAUGCCGAGAUGCUGAUAAGAAAUGAACAUAGUGUUUUCAGGACAACCAACCGCAUCAUGCAGCUUAAGAAACCACAUCCACGAGUCUUCGUCCUCAACAUGGCCGAUGCCAAACGCAACUAGAUAUAUGCACUCAUUCACAUCUUUGCAUACAGCGACAAAUAAAACACCUUUGAACCUGCCUUUCAGAUGUGUCGCAUCAAUUGCAACCGUAAGACGCAUUACAUCCCUAAACCCCCGAAUACAAGCCCUGUAUGACCAGAAACAAUAUUUGAAUCUCUCUUCCUCAUCAGUAGCCAUUGCAGUCACUGUGCCAGGAUUUUCUUGUUCCAACAUAUAAAAAUACGAUGGUAGUAGUUGGAAUGACUCCUCCGGUGGACCGAAAACAAGCCUCUCUGCAUACUCCUUCGCUUGCCAAGCCUUACCAUACAAGCAUUCCAAUCCCCACUGAACCCUCAUCUCACAAAUUAUGUCCUUAAGUCUCAAUGCUACUCCAUUACCCCGAAUCUUGUGUGACAUAAGUUCACCAAUCAUCUUCCCACUCGUAGUUGGAAACCGUCCUUGCAAACCAUCAAUGGUACAGGUAUGUACUUUGUGGAAUGUUCGAACUUUCCAAUAUUCUCCUCUAUCAGGUAACUUCAUUGCACGAACACUGAACUUGCAUGCCUUGUCCUUGCAACCAACCUCAUAACGAGCUUUACAUGACUUUUUUACUCUUAUCGCAAACUUCUCUUUUAUAACCAACAUGUUCAAAGCUCGUUUCAACUUUGCCUUCGACGAAAACAUUCUUCCUUUGUAUAAGCGAUCUUCGGCACAUGUCGACUCCUCAGUGGUAAUUGUUUGGAAGAAGAACCUUUCUGCACCUGUAAUUACCUACAUACGAGAUAUCCUUGCAUUUCCCCUUUCCUGAUCACUAUCAUCGAGCAAUGUAUCAAAGGAACGAAUCUCGUUCUCACCAACGAUGGGGUUAUUGUAUAUGGGGUCAUCACACUGAACAUCUCCUACAUUAACACCUCCAAUAGGUUCCGUUUCGCCUUCAACAUUAUUGCAAACUCGAAUGUCACUGUCAUAAAGGCAGUCAUCGUCUAAACUGUCACCUUGCGAUUGUUCAAGCCCAUCAUCUGAAGUGUGAUCAAAUCUAUCUUCACCGGCAGCGAACAAAUUCUCAUUUCCCUCAUCAAAUGCAGUAUUAUACUCCAACGUCGCAGUGUCACCCUCCAACCUCACAUUGAUAUCCUCAACUAUCGUAUUCUCAUUUGACAAUGGCAUUUCACACUCUACAGUUUCACCCGAUCAUUGCAUUUGUUCAAGAGAAGAAAGAAAUUGGUUUAAUGCACAUCCUGAUGGAAAUUGUGCAGCCAACUGUUCUGUUAAUGUCGUUUGUCUACCGGGCUGCACAAACUCUUGUGCAUACCUCAAUUGCCAUUGUUGUGGGUUACGGACCGAAUGCUGUGGUAUAUGUGAAGCAUUUUAAAUCUCAUUUUAAUUCAGUUGAUUACUAUGUUGUCCAACUUCUCCAUGUGACAUAACAUUUGUUUGGCGUCUCUUAAUGCUGACAUACACAGCCGGAACAUUCCUCUGUUCUAGCAAAAUUAAUGCAACAUCUUCAUCGUCCUUGAUAAUUGGCCGUGAUAGCUCUCCAAGUGUACUGAUCAAUGCAUGUAACUCAAUCUCGUCAAUUUCUAAGUUUACCCCAACAACAUCUUCAACCAGCUUUAUCAAGCCCAUAAACGACAAAUCACUCUUAACCCCCCGCAUUCGUGACUCACCACCCUUGUAAAUGCCAUCCAGCCACUGACCAUCGUGUCUUAUCACAAGUCGCAUAAUUGAAACCCCACUGAAAUUUUGAAAAAAAAAUUAUCAAUCAUUUUACACAAUACAUGCCGUGAUAAAAAAUUUGUCAGUCGUGUUGUUACACGCCAUGCAAAUAACGUAAAAUGUUGUAACACGCCAUGCAUAUCAAGUCAAAUGUCGUGACACGCCAUGCAUCAGUAUCGUUACACGUCAUGCAUCACUGUCGUGACACACCAUGCAUCACUGUCUUGACACGCCAAUCACUGUAAUUACUGACUGGUUACACCAACAUCCGUGACACGCUAAAAACCCAAAAAACCAGUUAACCCAUGACACACCAGGAACAGCCAUGACACGCCAAAAACCCAUAAAUUCAGUUAACCCACCACACCCCAAGAACAGCCGUGACACGCUAAAUAACUCUUCACUCAUGUUAUAGAUGCAUGGCGUGUAACAACUUUGGGCAAUGUUUCUAAUCCAUCUUAUCAUUUACACCAAAUGUUUCAAAAAUUUAAGUGUGUUGCAGAAAUAAACCUAAUAACAGGUACCUUGAUGUCAUCUCUGCUAUAGGGUGUGUUAAUCUACGACAAUGUGGCCAGAUGUCGAGAGAUAAACCACAGCCCGAUGACGAUGGUGCUCAACAGAGAGUUGACAGAGCUCAUACAAUUCAAAGAUUUGAGAGAGCUGACAAUGAUGGUGCUCAACAGAGACUUGCCACAGUUGAGACAAAGAAAGAUGACCGAGCCCAAACAGCUUUGUGCAUUUAUUUUUAAUGUUUUUCAUUUUCUCUCUGGUAGGAGGCAGAUAGCUCAAACAGCUAAGCAUUUAUUUGAAACGAUAUUUUUAAGGGCAUUUUGGUCUAAUUCAUGUUUAUUUUUGGGUAGAAACAGAUAACUUUAUAUGGGUGGUUAUUUCUGAAAUCACCUUAUCACGAUAUCCUUCUCUCACAAUUUCCUCUUUUUAAAUUUGGGAAGAAGCUUGCUAGGAGUUCUCUCUCUGUCCCUUAAGGGUUGUGUGCUUGUGGGGGGUGGGUGUUGGGGCACCCCUAGACCCAAUUUGAGACUGUUGUGAGUACUCAGAAUAAAGGAAAGAAAUUUUUGUGUUUAAGAUUGAAAAAUCACUUUCACAUUACAUCAGCAACGAAGAUGCUAUAUCUUGCUAAUAUUCUGGAACUUGUUAUCCUUUGAAAGGCAAAAAUUAGAUAUGUCUUCAGUAUGUUUUAUUACUAGGAGAUUGAUUCUUCAACAUGAGUAGGAUCUAUAAUUGCCUAUAUAUGAAGUUGGUCUUAAUACUUGUGAGUUGGUGGACUAUACUAGGGCAAUUAACUGAAAUCUUACGAAGGGGAAUUGUAGGGGAAAUUAUUUAGGAAACUAAGCAGUUGGAGUUUGGCUUUAAUGUAAAGAUAUUUUGGUAACUAAGCAAUAAUGGUUUGGCUUUAAUAUGAAGAUAAUUAAGUGAUUUCCACAAGUUUUAUUAUAAGUAAUAUGAUAUAAGAUGCACUUAAGCACUUAGCUUUAUGAUUUGUGCAUGUAUCCCUUGCUAAAAGAGCUGGUUUUAAAUUACCCUCCCCUAAUGAAAUAAAAUAAAACAUGAUAAUUGAUGGUUGUGCCCUCAAACUUUUGCCUUCAUAUGGUUUAUGUUGGUGGAAUUAAAACAAACUCUUUUGAUGAUCUUAGUGUAGAAGAAUCUGGUACAUUUUAGGGCUUAGCAUACUAAAUUAAACUAUGUCAUAAUUCUCAAAACACUGCAUUGCUGACCUUUUUUUCAAGUCCAUACAUUAAGUAGUAGAAAUACCUGCAAAUGGUUCUAAAGCAUACUUAAAAUAUUACUGCAGUACUGAUCUGUUUGGUAUUUCAUUUUUCUUGAUGUUUUUAAUUCUAAUUGAAAAUCAUAAAUCUAGUUGACAUUCUGAGCUCUUAGUUUCUAUGUUAAUUUAACAUACUGCAGAUUGUGGUUCUGGCAUAGGAAGAAUAACCAAGAAUCUUCUCAUAAGAUAUUUUAAUGAGGUAAGGUCAUUUUUCUCUUUCUAUUAGCAUAUUUUUAAUAUUUCUGACAUUUACCAUCUUUGCAGUUUAUUGAUAACAUGGUUCAUAGUGCAUAAUUUUUACUACCUAAAGAAUUUCUCAGUUGUAUUUGAAUGAAAAGCAAAAUUGGGUAGUGCCUUUUAAAAAAUUCAUGCAGGACAUGAGGAGGGUACCCAUUAAUUUCAAGGUACCUAAACCUUAACCCUAUAAAAAAUCAAAUAUCUAAACCCUAUUAAUUACCUGAAUAAUUUUAAAAGUUACUACCCUAACCUUAACCUUAACCCUAAUACAUUCCCGCUAUCCUAUAAUUACCCUAACCUAUUUAAAAGCCCGAUUAGAUAAAAAAUUUAUUAAAAUGUUCUUCAUGGGUACCCAAUUACCUAAACCCGAACCUGUAUUCAUAUACAAUAAUAUUUCUUCUACAUUUUACAUAUAAUUAACUACUAAUUAAAUUAAUAAAAGCACAAAUAAUAAAAUUUAAAUUUAAAUAAUCAAAAACUAUAAAGUGUGUUUAUAAAUUGAACAUAAUAUAUAAUAUAAAUCAAUAUUAUUUUAUUGUUUAAUAGUUAUUAACUUAUAUAAUAGCAAUGAUAUUCUUUAUAAAUGAACAUAAUAAAUAAUAUAAAGUAUAUGUAUUAAAAGACAAUACAAGUUAUAUACUAUAAAGUGUGUAUAUAUAAAUUAUAAUUAAUAAUUUUAUAAAUUUAUAUUUUAUAANAAAUUAUAAUUUUUAUAAUGUUAACAAAAAAUAAAAAGUAAAUACAUUUAUUUUUAAAGUGUAUAUAUAUAUAUAUAUAUAUUAAAAGUAUUUUAGUGUAUAUAUAUAAUAGUGAUUAUAUUCUUUAUAAAUGAACUCAAUAUAUAUAAAGUAUAGAUAUUAAAAGAUAUUACAAGUUAAUUAAUAAUCAUAGUUUCAUUAAUUAAUUUAAUUAAUUAUAUGAGUUUGUCCUUUACUACAAGAAAUUAAAAAAAAUAGUUAAGUUUCAAAACUAUUCUAAUCUCACAACUUCUUUUUAGAUAAUUAAGUUUAUCUAUAUAAAAGUAUCUAUAUUAUAAUUAAUAAUUUUAUAAGUUAUAAUUUUUGUAAUGUUAACACAAAAUAAAAAGUAAAUAUGGUUAUAUUUAAAGUGUGUACACACACUAAAAAUGUUUUAUUAUAUGUAUAAUAGUAAUUAUAUUUUUUAUAAAUGAACCCAAUAUAUAUGUAGACACUAGUUUUUUAGGUGAAAUAAACAUUAAAAAAAUAAAAGAAAAAAGAAAAAAAGAGAGAAAAUCAAAAAAAUAAUAAAACAAAAAUCAUAAACAAAAAUGAAUUAAAAAUAAUAAUAAUAAAAAUAGGAGAGAGAGAGAGAGAGAGGGGUACGACUGGUAGGGUGCGGACGCACCCUGCCAGGCACCACCCUCACUUUGCUAUACACGAAAAAUUCGCGUCUAGCAGAGUAAUGGGAGCGUGCCCCCUUUUGCCCAGUAUAAAGGGGGCACUAUAGCACAGGGAUCGGAGGAAUCGAUAAUAAAAAAAAUACCUUGGUAACAUUCAGCAACCAAAAAACCCUAGGAAUCUCUUAAAACCGAAAACAAACCCAGAAAAAAAUCGCUUGGAGUAAAAAACCUGCAAACCAAAAAUUCCUAAGAAUCCCUAGCAAAAUCUAGCAACCAAAACACCCAGCCACAAUCAAAAACAUCCUAAGCUUUCUAGCAGCCAGAAACCAUCCACAAUCGAAACAAAAAAAUUAAAAAAUCACAAAAAGGGAAAACGGGUAGCCGUGUUCUCUUUUUGGGGAUUUUUAGUUUGUUUUUUUAGGGGAGAUUUGGAGGGGAUUUCAGCAACCGAUGAGGUAUUUGAGUUUGGGGAUUUCGUGCCGCCGUAGUAGAGAGAGAGAGAGAGAGAGAGAGAGAGUGAGUGAGUGAGUGAGUGAGGAUUUGGGGUUUUUGGGAUACCACCGGUUUUAGAGAAAUAGAGUUAGGGCUUGGGUUUGCUACCGGUUCAAGGAAGGAUUGACCGGCGACUAGAAGGGAAGAUCUAGUCGGUCGACGACAGGGAGGGUAGAGCCAGAUUCAGACGGUAAAGAGAGAGCAGAAUCAGGCGAUCGGCGGUGAGGAGUGUGAUGCACCGUUUGAGCAGGAAAGGAACAGGAAAGUGGCUGUCGGUGAAGGGUUUUUGAGAGAGAGAAGCUGACGCCGGUGAAGAGGGGAAGGAAGAAGAGUUUUUUGGAGAGAGAGGACAGUAAUCGGCGGCUAGACAGAGAAACAAAAGGUAGAAAAUGAAAGGUUCUAGGGAGAAGAAAGAAAGGUGAGCGGUAAGGGAGAAGAAAAGAAAAAAGAAAAAAAAAGGGAAGGUUUUUCUCCAUUGCACCAAACAAUGCCGUUUUGGGCAUACCAGGGGUGGCUGUGUAAAGCACCAGACAGUGGGCUUAGUGAAGAUCGUGGGUCAACAGGUUAGCUUGGGCCCACUUAGCCCAAUCAGGUAAAAUAUUACUCAUUGCCAAAUGGGUCUGUGGUGAUUUGGGCUGUCUAAACUGUUAUGAUAUGGCUUGUUUAGAUUUAACCCAAUUUAUUUAGUUAGAGCUUUAAUACUUGAUGAUAUAAAAUUAAUUUUAAGUUAUUAUAAUGUUCUAAAAAUUUCUGGAUAAUAGUCCUAGGGUUAGGAAAUUACUAAAGAACAGAAUAACAUAAAAAUAAGGAUAGCAAAUAUAUAUAUAAAAAAUAAUAAUAAUAACAUUUUAGAAAGCGUUUAGUUAUGCAAAGAACUUAAGUUUAGGAGAAUGUUUAUUGCAAAUAUAUAAAUAACCCUUUUAAAUACAUGUAUAUAAAAAUAAUAUAUAAAAAAAUAUAUAAAAAUUACCAUGACAUCAACUACAAAUAUAAUACUGAUGAUGGGAUGAUUGGUCGGGACGGUAGGAGUCGCAAUCCCAAGCUAAUUUUCUUUAGGUUCGGAAUCCAAAUUAAGGCUUCACCAGUACGAUGGGAGGGCCUCGAUUUUGAGAUUCUGAGAUUUUUAUUCUAAAUAAAUAAAAUUUUACUACAUAAAGAAAAAAUUAGUCAAAAAAUAAUAAAUAAUAAAUAAAUAAAAAUAGAAAAAAUAAAAAUAAAAUAAGCAUAAACUUCACGAACAUAACAUAUAUUUUUAUUGCAUCAUGCAUACCAUUGCAUAUAAGUAUUUUUGUUUACGAGUUAAGCCCCGAUGAUGGGAUUUUUCGAGGAUCUUGUGAAGGUUAGUAUUUCUUGGAAAGUUUCCUAGGUGAAAAGAUGUCUUCGGGUCCCACCAAUAUGAUGGGAGGGCUCGAAAAAACAUCUUUAAUAAAAGGCUUUCGCUCGUAUUAGGUUCAUUAUUCACGAAAAUAUUAUUUUUUAAAGAAAAACGUGCGAUAACCCCGAUGAUAGGAUUUAUUCGUUGAAUUUGUGAAGGCGAAUUUCUUGGAUAAUUCUCUAAGUAAGAGAACACCCCGGAUCCCACCAGUAUGAUGGGCGGAUUCGGGAGAACGUCUUCGAUAAAAGGUUAUUCGUUCGACAUUUUUUAUCUCACGCCGUGCAUUUCAUUUUACCUUACACUUGCAUUUCAUUUUAAAAUCAAACAAAAUAAUUUAAUAAAAUUGGAGAUAUAAUAAGCAAGUUAUAGCUAAGGAAAUUAAAUGAACUUAAAAAAUAAAGCCUAAUAGGAUAAUCUAAAAAUAGUACCGUUCAUGGAACGGGCGUUUCAGGGGUGUUAAUCUUUCUCCGGGCGUAACCGUACUCCCGAACCUAGAUCUCGAAAAAUGUAGAACAAUUUAAGAUUCUUUCGACGGGCUUAAAUCUAAUUAAAACUCUAUCGAUUAGAAUCGAGUUAAUAGAUGGCCAAUCACACUUAGUAAAAAAGAUUGGUAGCGACUCCUAGUUUUUAGAGUUUUCACUCACGUCUAGCGGUUGGGUUCCCGGACCUGCACGUUACGACAAUAUAUAAAGUAAAUAUAUUAAAAGAAAUUACAAGGUAAUUAAUAAUCAUAGCUUUAUGAAUUAAUUUAAUUAAUUAUAUGAGUUUAUCCUUAAUUAUAUGAAAUUAAAAAAAAUAACUAGGUCUCAAAACUAUUCUAAUCUCACAACUUCUCUUAAGCUUUGCAUAUUAUAAGUUUAUAUAAACAAAGGUAUAUAUAUUAUAAUUAAUAAUUUUAUAUGUUAUAAUUUUUUUAAUUUUACUACAAAAUAGAAAGUAAAUNAUAUUUCUCUUACAUAUUCUAUAUAAUUUACUAAUGAUUAAAUUAAUAAAAACACAAAUAAUAAAAUUUAAAUUUAAAUAAUCAAAAACAAAUAUCUCAAAUAUAACUAAUAGAAAGUAAAUAUAUUUAUAUUUAAAGUACAUAUACAUACACACACAUUAAAAGUAUUUUAAUAUAUGUAUAUAUAUAAUAGUAAUUAUAUUCCUUAUAAAUGAAUCUAAUAUAUAUAAAGUAUAUAUAUUAAAAGACAUUACAAGUUAAUUAAUAAUUAUAAUUUUAUGAAUUAAUUUAAUUAACUAUACGGAUUUAUCCUUAAUUACAUAAAAUUAAAAAAAAAACAUAACUUGGUUUCAAACUAUUCUAAUCUCACAACUUCUCUUAAGCUUUGCAUAUUAUAAGUUUAUAUAAACAAAAGUGUAUAUAUUAUAAUUAAUAAUUUUAUAUGUUAUAAUUUUUUUUAAUUUUAAUACAAAAUAGAAAGUAAAUAUAUUUAUAUUUAAAGUGUAUAUAUACUAAAAUUAUUUUAGUAUAUAUAUAGUAGUAAUUAUAUUUUUUAUAAAUGAACUCAAUAUAUAUAAUGUAUAUAUUAAAAAACAUUUCAAGUUAAUUAAUAAUUAUAGUUUAAUAAAUUAAUUUAAUUAACAUAUAUGUUUGUAUUUAAUUAAUGAAAUUAAAAAAAAUAGUUAGAUUCAAAAACUAUUCUAAUCUCAAAGACUCUCUUUAAGUAUAUAUAUUAUGAGUUAUAAUUUUUGUAAUAUUAAUACAAAGUAAAAAGUAACUAUAUUUAUAUUAGAAGUAUAUAUAUAAUAGUAAUUAUAAUCCUUUGUAAUAUGAUAUGAUAUUCAUAUUAUUUAAACAUAAUUUAUAAUCUAAUAAUUUUUUAAUUGAAAUAUUUUAAUGUAAUCACAUUAAUAAUUUGAGUAACCAGACUUUUUAAUAUAUUUGUCAGCUUUUAAUAAAUAUAUUAAUGUUGAUUAUUUUUAAUUUAAUCAUUUAAAUAACAACAAAAUAUAUAUAAACAGGUAUUGGGAUCGAGUUCGAGGUGGGUACCCGUGUAACUUGAAUAGUAACAUAAUCGGGUUCAGGUAGCGGGUACCCAAGAGGUACUACCCCGAACCUGAUAUGGGUAGUGAAAUCACUAUCCGAACCCGUCCUAAACUUGAUUAUAGGGUAUCUUAAUCCGAUAUAACCGGGUUGGAUACCUGUGGGUAUCUUAUAAUAGGGUAUGCAUUGCCAUCCCUACACAUUAAUAUGUAAUUCCAAUACAGUGAACAUGAUGUGGAACAUGGUGGACUUUUUCUUUUUCCUCUCUUUUUCUUUCAUCGAAUGAUAUGAAUCAGUGACAUAGUAUUAGUUGGAGCUACUAUCUUAAUAAAGCUGCAUAGUACUUUGUGAUAGCUAUGCUUUUGGACCCCUCUUCCCUUUACCAUUCUCCAGGUUGAUCUACUUGAGCCAGUUUCGCAUUUCUUAGAUGCUGCCCGUGAAAGUUUGUCUCAGGAAUAUUUUGUAGCCUCUGAUGCGCACAAAGCAAAUAAUUCUACUGUGUCUCCCUUCAGGUCAUGUACUUCAAGACUACAUUCACACAUGGAUACAUGCUUCUUGAUGUCUUGAAGUAUUCAUAACUAUGGUUAAGUCCAUGUAAGCUAUGUAUUUCCAACUUUUCACGUUUCCCUAUAUUGCGGAUGUAGCCAUGUAAUUUGCACCUCAAGCAGGCAUGUUGUUUGAGUACAAUCCUGGGAAAAACUUACAGAAGUUAAGGUAAACAUGUUAAAUAUGGGUUUGCAUCUGGAACUCACAUUUGAAUCUGGGCAACAUAGUCUGUACUCUGUAGGCGGCUGGAUUCAAGUAAAUUUUUGCAAACAAUUAUUUACUCUUUUGUGUGUGUUGGGGUGGGGGGGGUAGGGGACAGCAUAUGGGCUAGUGAAUGAGCCCUUUAAGUUGGUGAUAUAUGUGCUUGUCUUCUUCUGAUGCUUCUGGCUGUUAAAUUUUACUUUAUAAAACAGAAAUUUGACGACCAUUUUUUUUUUGUCUUUUGCUUUUUCAGGAGUUCACCCCUGAUGCUGGAAGGUACAAUGUUAUUUGGAUUCAGUGGUGCAUUGGUCAUCUCACAGAUGACGACUUUGUCUCAUUUUUUAAGAGAGCAAAGGUGAAUAAAUCUUCUUCUUGAGACAGAACUUACUUUUUAUUUGACAUGUUGUGCUGUGUGGAAGUGCAUGGAAAGAUCAAAAUUAUGUAUUGAAAUUUUCUUGCCUGCUGUCUACUAUACAUUCGAAGUGCCUUGUUCUGAUUUUUGAAUUAUGAACUGUCAGAUCAUUGCAAUGGUAUCUCAAAUUUUCCUUUUCCAAAUUUAUUGCUUCAUGCUUUCUCUCUUGUAACGUCUUUUAAACCUUCUCACAGCUAUAGGAAUUAAGGUUGUCUAGAGAACACAACAUAGCAAACACCGGAAGGAUGAUAUCGUCAAACUCUUUUUUCUUUUUGCCCUUUCUUUUUGCAAUGUGUCGUGUUGUUCAUUCUAUUCUUCUUCCUGCUAGGUAACUAGCGCAUUUGAUGGGUUAGUUUGGAGUGUUUGGGCCCAUCCCUAGCACCACAGAAACAAGGCUGGAUAAUACUUUAUAAUUCAUACAGCUAUUUUGCUAUCAUCCGUUUUCUCACCUUACAAAAGCUUGUGACCAAAUUUUGUUGUGCCUUGUGCAUUGAAAUAAGAUUUAAGAAAUGAUGGUAGGUUGACUUUUGUCCCUUAAGUUUGUAAAUGGUGGGAAAUAAAAUUAAAUCUAGAAAGUGCCAUAUUCAUUUCAUUUUUUCCAGGUGCUGUUAAGCAUAACCUUUUACACUGCCUUCAAUGUAUUUUCAUCAAAAUUAAGCAAAACAUAUUAAUAAUAAAAAUCUCCAACAAGGAAAUUCUUGGGCAUGUGUAUGUGUAUGUAAUUUGGAGACCUGAUCUCUAAGUUGUGUCCUGGAAAGAACCUUGUUGAAAAUUAUUAUUCUUGCAUAUAUGAUUUAAAAGAUUCUAAUUUGCAUUUUAAUUUGAUAUACUAAUGAAUUUGUUGAUUCCAGGUAGGCCUUAAACCUGGUGGAUUCUUUGUCCUGAAAGAGAACAUUGCUAGAAACGGUAUUGUCUUUAUGACUCUUUGAUUUUUCUAAGCAUGUUUGUUUGCCCUCCCUCCCUCUCUCCCUCCCCUUUUUAAGAAGUGCUCAAGUUUUGUUUAAAGUAUUCCUCAAACUUUCUUAUGUUUUGGUAUUCUGUUGUAAAUUUUCGUGAAGCUGUUUUUUUUUUUUGGAAAUGCCGCAUGUCAUCUCACGUAUGAGAAGACAUAAAGUUGCUUUUUUGAGCUGAUAUUACUUUUUAACUUCGUCUUAUUAUGUAAUUAUCUGCCCUCUACAACUUUGAAGUAAAAUAAUAGUUUAUAAUAAUAGAUGUUCAAUUAAAAGAUAAAUGGAUAAAGGAAUUUUUAAGCUCCAUUUACACAAUCCAUUGCUUGAUACUAAGGGAAGCAGCAAGUUUUUGUUUUAUGCAUUCCUCAAACUUUCUUAUUUUUUGGUAUCUUGCGGUAAAAUUUUCAUAAAGUUGCUUUCUAGAGCUGAUAUAACUGAUUAACUUUGUUUUAUUAUGUAUUCAUCUGCCCGCUACUGCUUGAAGUAUACUAGUUAAUGUUUUAAAUGUUUAAUUAAGGAUAAAUGGGUAAAGGAAUAUUUAAGCUCCAUUGUCUUAUUUCGUUGCUUGAUACCAAGGGAAACAGCCAAAAAGUGUUGCAACUUAUAAUUCGCAGGUUCAGGAUGAGUUUCAUCUACUCAAAUGGGUAUGGGGUAUAAUUUUAUUAUGCCACCUAUUUGGGACACCUUUUGGUAACACUGUCUAUACAACUUUCUUCACUGAAAAUUCAUGAUGUAGUGGGGAAGUAGAAACAAUAACAAGAAACCAAAACAGUGAACAAAACCAGAACAAAGGUUAAAAUUGAGGUAAAACCGAAGUCGUAACAAGUUACAAGCCAGUAAGGCCAAUUGUCGAGCAUCUUAAGGUUAAAUAAACAAGUCACUCCCAUCUCAUCUGUAAUAGAUUGAUUCAAACCAGCUAGAUAACGAGAAGUCAACUGCUCAUUAGUCUCUUUCAAACCAACCCUAGGGAAAGGUCGUUGAAACCUGAAUGAAAUUUCUCAUUCAACUCCAUUUAAUCAGCAGCGGAAAUUGCCUCCUCAUCUUCAUUUUCAUGUGUUCCCAAGUGUUGAUUUUGGCUUGCCUGGAUGUGUUUGCUGCUCGUCAACUCUCUUCCACCAUUGAAGUGCACGCAGUCCCUUCAACUUAAGCUUCACAAACAGCACCUUUCUUUGUUCUGCCAUUGGUUUCUACUAAAAAUAAUUUUCGAAACUAUCUUUCUGAUCUGAAUAAUCUUUUGCAUGCAUCUUUUUCCGGAAGUCAUCUACCUUAAUUCUAACUCCACCACCAUUGAAGUCUAGGCAUGUAACAAUCAGCCUUCCAAUCUACCACAAACAGCACUAUUUGCUGGUCGAGCAUUAUGAAAGGGGUUUUUAUCCUCUCCAUAUUCAAUUUCAUCCUCAAGAACACCUACCGGUAAACCGAAAGGGUCAGUAUUGCCUUGUGGAUUCUCCAUACAGGCUCCCAUUGGUUCCUGUCACUUUAAAGCUUGCACAGCCUGCAACAAAUCUUCAAUCAUACCCAUCAACUCAGCCAGUUCUAUUUGCCGGUCUUGAUUUCUUUUCCACGUCCGCUAACAAGUCCUCUACCACGAUUAGCCAUGGUUUAUAAGCUAAAAUCCUAGUUCAACUUUAAGAUCUCUUCAUCUGAUACCACUUUGAUGUAGUAUGGAAGUAGAAACAACAAAAACAAAAGAAAAACAAUGACGAAAACCAGAACAAAGGCUAAAAUUGAUCUUAAGAUCAUAGUAGGAACAAGUUAAAGCUGUCUAAAGUUACAGCAGCUUUUAAUUGUAGCCCUUCGAUACAAACAACCCCAUCUAAUCCUAGCCAUUCAAACUAAUUAAAAAUGAUCACAUGCUAAUCACGACACAUGACUAGAUAGAAAACAUAAUUACCAACUUUUAACUAAAGUAAAACAUAAUAAAAUAACCAAUUGGAGAAAAAUUUAAGAAUGCUCUUGCAUAGCCUUGCCCAACAAUUAAACUUGCCUAAGGCUUGACUUAACCUAGGACUUAAGUCUCAUAAUUUGCUUGCAUUCAACUCACAAAAUACUUGGAUUCGAUCAGAUUAUUGUUGAGUUAUUCUUGAGCUCAAGUGACCAAUCGAGUCUAGUUCAAGUGUUUAUAUUACUCAGUCAAGAUAGUUCAAGAGCGUAAUCAACUUUUAAUUUUUUUAAUAUAUUUUAAAAUUCCAUGUAUGUAAUACUCAUAUAAAACUAAAUAAUACAAAGAUCAAUCAAGUCCAGCUUGGAGGUCUCAGACAUAUGUACUUUCCGAAAAAAUGUUCAAGUUGAGCUUCAGGUCUUAGUUUUGUAAUUGAGUCGUGUCAUCUUCAAGCUUAUCAUUUUGUCAACUUGAUUUGGCUCAGUUAUGCACCUAGACUUUAACCAACUCAAACUGACUAAAAAGGUUACUGAAUUGAAAGUUGAGACAGGGACAACUCAAACACAAAGUAAUCUGGAAUUCUAAAUAUCGAAUUCUUAAUCAGACUCAACUUCCAUUUUUGUAAUCUGCUGUGGUAUCUUAAAUGUGCUCAAAGUUCUUAAAGUUCUUAAAGUUUUUGUAAUCAGACAGGGACAAUUUUGUAAUCUGCUGUGGUAUCUUAAAUGGUGCUCAAAGUUCUUAAUCAGACUCAACUUCCAUUUUUUUGAUUCUGAAAAACAAAACCACCUUCACUGGCUAAAAUAAAGUGGGAAUCAAUUCAGUAUGGUACAAUUUAUAGAUAUGGUACAUUUAUAGAAAUGCUGAAUCAUUUGUCACUGGCUAACAUAUUAAUUUCAAUUCAGACAUCGAAUUUUGUGAUUAGAAAUGAAGCAGCUGAAUAUGGGUAUUAAGUGGAAGAAUUGGUUUAGCUUUUCAAAAGGAUAGGAUAGAAGCAGAAUUAUGCUUUGAGCAAAGAGAGAAGAAGGAGCCACUACGAAGCUCGACUUGAACAUCGCAAGCAAGUAAAAGUUCUUUAAGGCUUUUAAUGCUCUUUAUUUUUUUUUAAAUGAAAUUGUUAACAUUGAAUAGUAGAUGAUUGGGUAGUAGAAAUGAGAGGUUGGUGUUGUUAAUGCUUUAGGGGACUUAAAUUAGAAAGUAGUAGACUACAGAACUUUUAGAGAAAUCUAGGGGGAAACAGCUAUAUAUGUAAAUUCAUUAGAUUGGAUUUGGUAUCAGAAGAUUUAAGGGAUUUAUUCAUUUAUUUAUUUAUUUGGGGGUAAGAUGGGCAAUUUAGAGGCAUGAGGGGUUGGGGGGGGAGGGAUAAAAGUCCAAAAAUUAUAAGGAGAAAGAUAAGGAAGGAGGUUAGUGGUGGGAUGCAGGCUCUGUUUUGGAGAAGUGGCCUCAUGACAGGAAAAUUCAGACAAGUUAGGUGAAAAAAGUUAGAUAAGGUGAAGAGUUGGACUUUGUUUAAUGUGCUGGGCAAAGAUGGUGUGUAGGGGGUAGAAGGCUAGGACUUUGACACUAUUGUUGUCAGAAGGGGCUUUAUGUGUUGUUGAGGGGGUGAUCAUGGUAGUGAACUUGUAACUUUAGGAAGAAUCCAGAAGUGGUAACAUCCUACCCUAUCGAUCAAGGAUUCAUGAACUGGAUUCAAUUACAGAUGUUAAGCGUGAAAUUAGUUUGGAAAUGGGUUCGGUUGCAACUCAAUUAGGACUUUGUACUGCAGCAAUAACCAUUGGCAUUACCUGUAAUAAUAACUAAAAGAUUUACUUGAGCUUUCAGUUCUUCAAUCUCGUCUUGAAAAGUGCUCAAUGCAUCCCUUGUCUCAUCACUCAGGAUAUUAUUCAUCUCGGACAGUUCUCAUUAGACUGUCUCAAUUUCAUCAAUUCCUUCACGGGGAACCAUUUGAGCUUUUACUGUGGCCACUACGGCCUCUGGCUCAUAUCCUCUGAUGGUCCUCUAGUGCACUCCACGUGGUCAUCAUUUGUACACUUUAAAUCAGCACCUCUCGCUCGUGUUCUGAUACUAACUGUUACGAACUACACUAUUUCGCCUAAAUAUACAAUAGUCUAUGCGGCACUUGAGUGGACGCUUCCACGCAAGUCAACCAAUACUCGGUUAUAUCUAAUCCAACAUUAAUAAUAACAACAAAUCAGACUAAGAGAACUCGUAUCAAAAUCAAAAGGCAUACCGAAUGCUAUAUGUGUAACCACUGAGUUAUAAAAAGGAAAAGUGCUUUAUUAAUAUAAAAUUAAUUACAAAGAGAUCGAGAUAGGUCAUCGUCAGGCCAUAGGGACAGCCUUAUAUGAUUCACUACAAAUAUACCCUUACCAAUGAAGCAGGCUAACAAUCCGCUGAUUGUUCAUUUUCUAUAAAGAGUUUACGAGAUUUUAUAAGUAUUCUAUUAAUAAUCAUUACAAUGCUUGAAGUAAGGAUAUUUCUUUUCUAAAAGAUCUCCUUUCUAAAAAUUUGACAAGUAUUUGUGAAAGUAUCACCACGAGCCAUUACAUUGUUUGAAAGAGGAACAUUUCCCUUAGAGGUAUAAAAGACUCAAGCUCCAAGAUAAUUCUACGCUAUCAUAAUCCGAUACAAGGUUGGCUCAUGACACAAUGGCCAGCUCGUUCAUCCUUGUUAUAGCCGUUAGUGCACAGAAAAAGUUUUCUGUGAUUUGCAAUCCUGUUUUGUUGGUUUUAUUUUUCCUAGGCUAGAACUGUGGGAGUGAUUUUGUGAUGAGUAUAAAUAUCAUUUGUAACAGUUGUUGCAAUUGAUUUUUUCCCUGAUCAAUGAAAAGUAUAUUUCCUUUCUCUCCCGCAUGACUCUGUUUUCUUCUUCUUCAUUUUAGCCUUCUUUGCAGAAAUACUUUUAAGUUUCUUAAAAUCCUUUCAGGAACAAAGCAAAUGAAAGGUGCAAAUUACUGUGUUUUGUGGAUUUGGUGUUUAUCAAUCACCAAAUGAAGAUUAUUUUUAGCUCACUUCCAUGGUCUCUUGCUGGCCUGGAGAUACGGUAUACUCAGGUUUAAAGCAAAGGAAAUUGUGUGUUGGUUAUGUUGAUGUUUGGUGCCUGAUCUUUGCAAUGAGGAAGCUGAAAUUACAUUGAAUCUGGUUGCUUGGGAUAUUUGUUUUACUACAGGUCUUAUGCGAUGGUCAUUGGGAUUAAUAUGUUUCAAGCUACUGGUUUUUCUUAUCCACUUUUUGAUGGCUAUAAAUUAAGUCUUCUCAAAAGCUGACUUGAUAAGAGUACUUCCAUCCAGUCAUGCACGACCAACUUAUUGCAGUGGUCCUAUGAUUUAAUCAACUGGAUUGCCAUUAAGGUUACUAUUUUCAAGCCAUAAGUUUUUUCUGCAACGUGCUUUGCAGUUCUCAUGUGUCUAUUUAUUAUUUGCUCCAUUGACAACUCUUCAUUAUCCUUUUUUGAUCAAAAAAUUUAAAUUUUAUUUUUUAAAUUAAAAAUGUAUAUAUAUAUAUAUAUAUAAAUUAUUUAUAUAUUUCCUUCUACUUUCUCAUUGCCACAAUUGGACUAUAAGCAGCAAGAAAUUUUCAUUUUGGCCCAAUAGGAGCAAGAACUGAAAAAUACAUGUUCUUGAUUUUCUGCAAAAUACGAUUUGAAUCAUGCAAGCAUAAGUGUUGAAAGUGUAGAAAGUUCUAACCCUAACAAUACGGAAGUGUAGAAAGUUUACGGUUGAUUUAAGUCUCAUAUAAUAAACAAAUUGCAAGUCUACGUCGCAAUCUGAUCCAUUAUUUUUUAUAGGGCUUUUUGUGGUUAGAAAUCUACAAAUAUAAAGAAAAAAAAUUGUAAAAUUGCCAAUAAAACUAAUUGAUGUAUCGAUUUAGAUAAGAUAAUUUUGAGUAUAGAAAUGCUUUUCGGUAAAAGUUGUAGUCUAUAAACUUAAACAAAUAUUAAAUCAGAGUGCAGGAACAAUUAGAAUACUAAUUCCACAUAAUAGCACCUAUAAAUGUGAAAUUGUAGAUCCAAGAAUUUUUCAACUAAUUUCUUUGUAUUCAGUCAAGGGUUUUUUUUCGUCUAAUUCUUGUUGCUGGUGAAAUUGUAGACACAUCCCUCUCAUUUACCCUCAUGCAUCCAGUCAUGUCAAUUGCUGGUAAAAAAUAAUUGUAGCGAGUUGUGCACGGUGAAGUUAUUGCAGUUGGCCAUGUGACCCUUCAAAUCGACAAGCUACUAGUUUUUCUUGUAACGUGCUUUCCAAUUCCCUUCUAGUCAUCAUUACUCAAUUGACUAUCUUUUGGAUUCACACGUCCAAUUUGAAUAUGCAGGACAUUCCUUGACUUUUGAUUGCUUUUCCAUAUUAAUUGACAAAUGAUACUUGAAUAACAUAUUCCAAUGACCCAAGAUAUGGGACUUCCUAGUUGUCAAUUGCGAUGUCCAAAAUUGAAGACCCUGAAACUAGUGCACUGUCCUGGCGGAUUCAGAUCACUACUAACUUCCCAAUUCCAUGAUUAAGAUCACAACUAUGCAAAAUUGAAUCUGGCUGGUCCCAUUGGGCUUCCUCUUUUAAAACCUAAGUUUGAUUCCAGUCCUACUUAUAAAUAAUGUUAAGAGAUUUAAUUUUAAUGAAUAAUAUUUAAAUUAAAUCAUAAUUUUAAUAUAAUAUAAUUUACAUCUAAAUUUAGAUAUAUAUAAUAAAACUUAAGAGUUCAAAUCAAAUUACACUCUUUUAUCUGACCUACUCAACUGUUUAUAAAUUAAUAUAAAUAAUAUUUUUUACCGAUCCCACUUUAUAUAUAAAUUAAUAAUCUACUUAUAGAUCAAAAUUUUAUACACACAUAUAUAUAUGACUCAAUUAGGAAGUUUUAAUAAAAUAUGACUCUAAUGUUACUUGUUUCGUCUUGAAAUUGAUAUCUUAUUGACUUUAUCUCUAAUUUUUCUUAGUGCAUUACAAAGGUCUGGUGUAGUGUUCUCGUAUGGUAAGAGAAAAUUAUGCAAUGUGAUGGUUGCUUGAGUGCAUCUUUGCACGAGACAAGCUCUAGUAUAGAACUAUCAUCUUCAACUUCAUUUUCUUUAUUAUUUCUCAUGUCGUUCUCAAUAAUUUGCUUGUCACUCAACAACUUUGAAGGUGGCUCAUUUUCUCCUUGGUAGUUUAAAAGGUACUCAAUAUCUAUUUUAUCACAAUACUUCAACUAUUUGAUUAGAACAUGUAAUUGUUAAAUUUGUCUAUCAUGUGAGCGUUGAUCCAAAUUUUUUGAAGUCACGUUAUCCAUACACCUAAUUUUACAAUGUUGAAAACAAUUUGCAAUUGUACCAUUUGUUGACCAAGCUGAGAUUGCAAGAUUCAUUAUAUCCAAAACAUUUAUCUUUUUUGGAUUUGAGAUUUCAAUUUCAUAACCCUCUAAAAGAUUUCGAUAAAAUUGAAGAUGAUAAUGCAUCUCGAUAGAAUAAUAAUAAUUUGUAAUUCGAUAAUAUUCGUAUAAUCACAAUACAGAGUACAUGUAUUAAGUUUAAUGUUUUGAGGAAAAAAAAAAGAUAUCUAGAUAAAUUAAUUUUUUAUUAAUUAAUGUAUAAAUUAAUAAAUUAUUAAUUUAUUAAUUCAAUAAUAUCUUAAUUAAUUAAUAAAUUUUCAUGAUUCCAAAGGUAUUAAUUUAUAGAGAUUUUAUUAUUGUAUUUUAAGCAAGUGUUAGAUUCCUUUGUUUAACAUAUAGAUUAAUAAAAGAAGGAAAGCAAAGAUUGGAUAUCAAGCUUAUAUUGACAAUAUUCCUUUUUACUUUCUCAUUGCCAUAAUUGAACUAUAAGCAGCAAGAAUUUUUCAUUUUGGCCCAUAAGGAGCAAGAACUGAAAAAUACAUGUUCUUGUUUAUUGCAAAAUACGAUUUGAAUCAUGCAAGCUAGUAAUGAACAACCACUAGUUUCGGGCCUAAAGAAACCCAGAAUAGGCUAAUCAAAUAUUAUGCAAGAUAAAUAAUCAAUUGUAGUUCCGUCAGUGGAGCUAUUAAUUAUGCCAGCGAUCGCCACAUCACACUGAAUUUUUACUUGUUGAUGUUCCAUAACAGUGUAGGCAAUCUUCCAUAAGAAUCUGCUAGGACCUCUCAAUCUCUCUGAUCUGGUUUCUCCUAAAACAGAAUGUGUUGCUUGGCACCACUGUACAUGUUGAAGCUGCCUUUAUAAAUUAUGAUAGCAGAGGGGAAAAUUACGACAACCGACCCAUAGGCAGGUCUAAUACUGUGUUCAUAGAAAGCAAAAGCACGAAGUAGGUUGACUGUUUUGGUUCCUAUUUGACGUCACAUAUUCAAAUCCAAUCCCUUUCACACAGUUUUUUCUCUGAUCCUUAGCUCACGUUACCCCCUUUUCUCAAGGUUUUUAAGUUCUAACCCUAACAAUACACUAGAAGUGUAGAAAGUUUGUGGUUGACAUGAGUCUCAUAUAAUAAACAAAUUCUACCGUUCAACCCAAAUUGCAAGUUUACAUCGCAAUCUGGUCUUUUGGUCUUUUGUUUUCAAUAGGACAUUUUGUCGUUAGAAAUGAUCUACCGUCCAACCCAAAGUAUAGGUUUACAUUGCAGUCUUGUCCAUUGUUUUCAAUAGGGUAUUUUGUGAUUAGAAAUCAACCGAUAUAAAGAAAAGACAUGUAAAAUACUGUUAUCUAUAUACAGCAAGAAGGAUUACUAUGAGAUAUUUAUAAAAGAGAGAUAGCCGUUGAUUCACUCUACGCUAAUUUUUAUUUAAUAAAUUAAUAAAAUAAUAAAAAUGAAUAUAAAAUAAGAUAAUAAUAAAAGCACAUAAAAAAUAGUAUCUACAGCCUCUUCCUUCAAUCAUCUCUCUCCAUCUGCCAAAAUUUCUUUCUCUGUUUGAGAUGGAUAUCAAGUCCAUCCUUCAUGAACACCACUUGCUCUGUGAUGAAUAUGAUGAAUCACGGGGACUUUGUGAUAUGUGCAAUCAGGAAAUUUGUGGUAUGGCUUAUUGUUGUGAAAGAUGCGAGUUUUCAUUGCAUGAUUCUUGCGUUCAUCAACAGCUACCUCCUCAGAUAAGUGCACAUCCUUGCCAUCCCCAACACAAUCUUUCUCUCGUAGGGUCAAAUCACAUGGAUUACAUAUGUGAUAAAUGUUUCAAUCUUUCUCGAGGCUAUAGAUAUCAUUGCAAAGAGUGUCAUUUUAGCCUUGGGUAUCAAUGUGCUUUUUCAACUAAUGAUGAGAAAAAUAGACUCAAUGGCGAGACAUUUAAAAAAAUUGGUGGUUUUACCCUCUUUAAUUAUAGGAGAGUGAGAAAGUAUGAGUAUAUAUGUAGUUGGUGUGAGAACCAUUUGUCUGGAAUGUCUUAUGCUUGUUUUGACAAUGGUGCUUAUACCUGCUUCCACGAUUCCUGCUUAAUCAAAUUGCCUCCCAUAAUAUUCAAACACUCAUUUCAUCCAUCACACCCUCUUCAAUUAUGCAACAGUCACUUUGAUAAUGGGUUGUGCAAUGCUUGCAACCUACCAAUAUGGGAGUUCAGAAAAGCCUACUGUUGUAGAAAAUGUAAAUUUCACCUUCAUGUUCGUUGUGCUAAACUACGACCCAGUCUCAAGGUUGAAUUACAUGAGCAUGAUCUUACCUUUUUUCGAAUAAAAGCUAAUAGCGCAACCCACCUAUGCAGGGUAUGUGGUUUUAAUUUUGAUGCUAUAGGGGACGAAAGUGCUUUUUAUCGUUGUGUCCAUUGUAAUUUCAAUUACCAUUUCAAAUGUCUUACAAUACCACAUUCUACUUCGCACAAGUAUCAUAGGCAUGAUCUGAUGCUUAUGGAUUCAUUUAUAGAAGAUGUUUCUGAAGAAUAUUAUUGUGAUAUAUGUGAAGAAGAAAGAAAACCCAAGCACAGUGUUUAUUGUUGCAAGAAAUGCAAAUUUAUUGCUCACAUCGAAUGUGCACUCAAUAAGGUAAGGAGACAUUUACUCUCUCUCUGAAGAAAUUUAAUAAAUGUUUUUUUCAUUAGAUAAACUAUUAAUUAUUUGAUCAUAGGUCACAUAUAAUGUGCCCCUUAGAAAAUUUUGAUGCUAAUAUUUUUACUUCCCUAGGUUGUGGAUACGAAACUUGAUCAAAGUUCGACCUCUAGUCUGUUGGAUAGUGAAGCUUCAACAUUGAAGGUGAUGGAAUUGGAUCUUUUAUAUUGAUAUUAUUAUGAUGUUUUCACUUGCCAAUAAUUUGUUUUUUUGAAGUUUACAUCGCUUAAGGUCUUCUAUUCCUUGGAUUUAUAUAUUAUAAAGAUUGUUUAGUAAUAAACACCAUUUACAUUUUUGAAUAAAAUUCAAUGAAAAAAAACUAAAAAAUGUAAAUAAUAUAAGUAAAAAACCUCUACUUAUGUAGCAGUAUUCAAAAUUGAUUUGGAGACGGCUUUAGUCAAAAUAUUGAAUGUUGAAUAAAUUAAAAACACUUACGUGCAUCAUGUUAAUUUAUGAACAUAUAUAUUUGAUUAUUUAAUUAUUGCUUCUAUAUUUUAGUUUUAUCUUAAAUUUUCAUUUCUUGUACUUUUUAAACAAAAAUAAAGAGUAAAUUUUACUAUUAAUCUUGACCUAUUUGUAAUUUUUUGUUUUCAUUCAUCCAUUUUGAAUUUAUUUCAAAUCCAUUUGUAUAUUAACAUGCCAAUAAAAUAUAGAUGGAAUUUGUCACGUAAAUUUCACAUAUUAUGUGAAUUAUGUGAAUGUAGUCACAUGGACGUAACUGUAGUACUUAGAUGGCAAUUCCGUUCCAUAUUUAAUAGUGUAUUGAUGGAUAGAUGAAAUUAAAAUAAUUUCAAAAAGACAUAAAUGGAAAAAUUCGAGUUUGUUUAGUCAUGGAUGAAAAUAAAAUUAUGACAAUGUUAUAAACUAAGGAUGCACUUUACCUAAAAAAUGGAGGAAGAUUAAUAACUUUCUUCACUCAACUUGGUCGUGCAGGUGCAGAUUGAACAUUUUGAUCAUCAACAUCCCUUAAGCUAUAAUGGGGCAAUUGAACAGAAUGAAAGUCUUCUUUGCAUUGCUUGCCGCCAAGAAAUUUUUGAUCAACACUAUGCUUGUGAAGAUUGUAAAUACUACUUACAUGAAACGUGCACUACAUUGUUGUAUGAGGUGUCACACCCUCUUCAUUGCCAGCAUCCUCUCAAGCUUGUCACGGAUAUAGUUGAAUUCACAUGUCAUGGAUGUAGGGAACAUUCUGAUGGGUUUGCUUACAUGUGCCUUCCAUGUGAUUUCCACCUUGAUGUGAAAUGUGCUACCACUCCAAUCCCACCUAAAAAUGAUGGGCAAAAGCUGAAAGAGAUGGAGAAAGUUUCCAAGUUUUGCCCUUUCAACCAAAAUCAUAAGCUAGACUUCUUCAACCGUAGACCCAAUCUUAAAGAUUUGGCUUUGGAAUGCGAUGCUUGCAAGUUACCAAUCUUGGGUCCAGGUUAUACAUGUCGUGAUUGUUUCAAUAUCAAAAUUCAUGAAUCUUGUCUUGCAUUUAUUCGGGAGAUGCAACACACAUUUCAUCCGUUACACCCGCUUCAUCCACAAAUCGGCGAUUGGGAAAAUUGUUCUGCCUGUAGAUUUAAAAUCAUUGAAAGUAUCGGUUAUAGUUGUCGGCAGUGUGAUUUCCACCUUCAUCUUCAUUGUGCUAAUUCCCUGAAGCUGGCCUUAAAAGUUAAGUCUCACAUGCAUAAUCUUUAUUAUUUUGGACCAAAUUAUGAGAAAUCUUACCAAUUAUGUAACAAAUGCAAAAGUUACAUUGGUAAGGAACCUUUCUACUAUUGCGUGGAGUGCAAUAUGAAUUUGCACUUAAAAUGUGUUCCCAUACCAUGUUCAAUUAAAUCCAAAUGUCACAUGCAUCGUUUGACUCUUAAAGAUCAUUUUGUGGAAGAUGAUUCUGGAGAAUACUAUUGCGACAUCUGCGAAGAAGAAAGGAACUCAAAAAAUCAUUGCUAUUAUUGUGAAGAGUGUGCUGGACAAUUUGUUGCUCACAUCGAGUGCGCGCUUCUUAUAGUAAGUUUAUCACUAUCAUUUUCUCUGUAGAAUUUUUCUAUAUCAUAUUAUUGAAUUUUCUAAAGGAAAAUAAGAAUCUAAAUUACACAUCACAUGAUCGUAUCCACCAUCUCUUUGAUUGAUUGGACUUUAUUAAUGGUUAAAGUACCUCAUAGGUCCAUAUACUAUAGAUUUUUCGUUCAACUAAUCUUUUUUCCCAAAAUUGGUUAAUUUAAUCUCUGUACUUUGAGAUUUUAUGUAAUGGAGUCAUUUUACUUAACUUCAUCCAAAUUAACCAUUAGUGGUACUGGUGACGCACUGACAUGUCAGAUAAAAAAAAAUUGACCAUGUGGCAUUUUUUUCUUUCCUCCUUUUUCUUUGCUCAUAUGUUCAAAACUACAUUGUUUUAGAGUACUAUUUAAAGCGGAUUUAGUUUUUUAUUUUUCAUUUUCCUUUUUAUCCUUCUCUUUAGCUUUCUUCUCUCCCUAGAUUUCGACCCCUAAAUGCAAAUUCUGGCUAUCGAUCACUAGUAAUAUGAAAAUCUAAUAAAAAAUAAAAAAAUUAGUUUUUUGGCCUUAUUUCCCAUAAUUAGGAUAGCUUUUUCAAAAUCUAUCUCGAUUUUUCUAGAUCUAAAAUCAUAAACUUGUAAAAAAGAAGCUUGUUUCUUUCCAUUGCUGUGUCCUCAACUUGAUGUUAAUGAUCAAGGGUUGUGUUUUUCAUGUUGUAGGAUUUUGAAUUCGGAGAUGGAAAUUUUCAUGAAUUUUCCAUCUUGAAAGAUGCUGGCUCACCUAUUGAGAGUUCCUCUAUGGAUAAGUUGCUUUCCCAACCCCAUGCUGAAGUUUACUUGAACCAAAACAGAAUGGUAGUUAAGUCCUAUAUAAGUUAUUUUAAAGAUCUCAUCUUUUAUGCGAAAAUGAAUUUUAUUUUACGAAUAGUUGAAUGAAAGAAAAGUUUCACGAUUUUGUGGGUGCCAUUGUCGUUGCAGAAGUAUUGGGUGAAUGAGAAGUUAAACAAAUACUGCUUCAUGUUGUUUGCAAGAGAUCUUUCAAUCAGUUGGGUAGAAGAGCACCGUUAUUGGCGUUGGUCAUACCAAAAAGAAACAAACAGGUUAGCGUAGAUUUAUUAUCCAUUGAGAAUCCUUACUUCAUAGUUCUAGCUUGACAGCUUUCUUAAUCCACAAACUUUUGAUUUUGUAGCGAUGUGUUGAUUGAUGUUGUCGAACUUCUAAAGGUGUGUUGGCUAGAAAUGAAUGUGAAAUUCAAUGUAAAAAAGCUCUCACUGGGAACUUUGUAUGGAGUUAUGUUUGUGUUUAAGUUGACAGAUGAAGCAUAUGGAUGGGGAUGUCCAGUGAACUUUGGAUUCACUCUUCCAAAUGGGGACAAGGUUGAACGCAAGGAAAAUUUGAUGACCAAGCCGAGAGGAGUAUGGAUAGAAAUCCCUGUCGGAGAAUUUACAACUUCAUCCGAAAUUGUUGGAGAAUUACAUAUUUGCUGUCACCAAUAUGAUGAAUUGAAUUGGAAAGGAGGACUUAUUGUUAAAGGAGUUGCUAUUCUACCAAAGAAUUAAGUUAUAAAUUAGUAUUUUGUCAUAAUAAAUCUGAAAGUACUGUAGUUUUUUUGUUUGUUCAUAAUCUUGCAAAUUCUAAUAUGACAUGAACUUGAAAGGAACCAACUCAUCCAAUAAUCACCUCAACACUUGAACCAGUUUUCCGGUUCUCAUUAUACAAUAUAGGUUCCAUGCUAAAUGCAACAAACAAGCUCAUUGAUUUUUUUGAUAUUUUUUAUUAGAUUUUUUGACCACCAGUGACUAGUGGUUGGCUGUCGAAAUCUGGGUUUGGGGAUCAUAAUCUAGAAUAAAUUAUUGGAUAGAGAGCGAAAAAGGAAAGAAGGAACAAUGAAAAAAAAAACUAAAUGUCCUUUAAAUAGUAGGCUUAAAAUAACUAGUUUUGGACAAAUAAGAGAAAAAAGAAAAAGAAAAACCAUGUGAUCAAUUUUAUUUUUUUAGUUGAACAUGUCAACGUUAGCAUUUUUUGACAUGUCAGCUCGUCGUUAGCACCACUAAUAAUUAAUUUGGAUGGAGUUAGAUAGAGAGAAUCAAUAGUACAAAAUCUAGGUAAGAGGGACUAAAUUAAUCAGUUUUGGAUAGACAGACUAAAUUGAUAAAAAAAAAAAUCUUUAAUAUAGGUAUCUAUGAGGUACUUUGACCAUUAAUGAAUUCCAAUCAACCAAAGAGGUGAUGGAUAUGAUCAUGUAAUGUGUAUGUGUAAUUGAGAUUCUUAUUUUCCUUCAAAAAAAUUCAAUAAUGUAGUAUAAAAGAAAUCUAUAAAGAGAAAAAAUAAUUGUUCACGCCUCAACAUUUCCUGAAACCUUUUCAGCACUUUGAAGCUUUGUCCAUUAAUUAAUCGCCUUGUUUCAAGCAUGUUCUCAUAGUAACAAAAGUCUUUACACUGUAUAGAACCUUUUGUUUCUUUUUGACCUCCUGUAAUCUUGAGCAAGGCUGAUUGUGUAUAUAGUGGAGCAUAGUUGUGUACAUAGGGAGAUGCAUGCUUAAGCUACAGGGAUGGUUUUUGUUCACUUGCCUUUUUGUAUAUUGAUUUUGCUUAAGGCAUAAAGGUAUAGAAUUUCAAAAAAAAGAUAUAAAAUUGUGGUAUUAGCAUCUUGAUAGCCACAUUUGGAAUAAAAAGGUAGCAAUUAAAAGAAGCAUUUUAUCCUUAAUGAUGAGCAAGCUUUUUUUAGCCUUUUUCAUUUUUAUAUUCUCUCAAUAAUUUCCUUCUUUAAAUAAAUAAAAACAAUGUUGACAGGGCAUGAAGCACAUGCCAUUUUCUUGUUUUUGGUAUAAAGGCCUGAGGGAAUCUUUGUUUAGGUUUUGUAUUUAAACACACUCUCUCAUCAAGAGGCUAGUAGUUGAUCAUCUCUCUUUCUUCAUCUACCUAAAUUUCUUUCUUUGUUUGUUUGAGAAAACAAAGUAGAGACUAUUCUGCUAUGGGGAUAUUCUAUACUUGUUUUCGAUAGAAAUUUAGUACCUCCUCAAGUCCUCAACUGUCUUGGUGAUGCAAAAAGGGGGUUGUAGCUAGAAAUAAACCACAAAAAAUAUGCAAGCAAGGCUGUUGAUGUGAAUGAUUUAGCUUGGUUUGGGUUAUACAAGGCGUAACGAUUCUUUGAACGUCAAAUACACUUUUCUAUAUUUAAGCUUAUUCUUCAUAAUGUGUAGGAUUGUAGGGCAUUUUAUUCAAUUAUAUUUUGGUUAGAUUGUAGAGAAAAGAAAGCUAGAGAAAAAGACAACGGAGAGAAACAUUUUUUGACAAUGAUUCAAAAUUUAAUUUCAUUAAUAAGUUAAAGAAUUAUAGCAAACUGUCAAAAAGGUCAAAAAAAACUUUUUUCUGCUUCUUUUAUUCUCUCUUGGCUAGAAGAGAUGUGCAUUCUUGAACCAGUGAUUUGCAAAUAAGUGACUACUUUUCCUGUAUACCUUUGAGUUGAAUGACCAUGUACUUAUCAAUUAUGUAUAUUUCAACAAAUUUAUGUUAAUAUUCAAGUUUCUAAUAUUUGAACGAGUGUAUAUUUGAUGCAUUAAUAGUGUCUAUAAGAUACAUUGUCAGUGCAUUAAAUAUGAAUCCUAUUUAAAUAGAUUAAGAGUACAUAGUUAAGAAUUGCAGAGAGCUUAAUUUGAGAUAAUAGCUUUUUGUAUGAAAAAAGAAAAAGAAGAUUUGGCUUUUUUUUUUUAUUUGUUUUUGUUAAUUUUAUUAUGUCAGCUUGAUUUUAUGUCAACAACCUUGUCAAUUCAUUAUGGUUAGUAAUCAACAGUUUUAAUAACAAUGCUUCCUAACAUAAAGUUUAAAGGGGAAAAUAAGAGAUUGCAAACUCAAAACCUUGAUGUCUUUUAGGCUUUUCUUGUUUCUUUGUCCUUUUGUAUUUGUUGUUUUAGUUAUAAAAUUGUGGAAGUAGCAUCUUGAUUGCCACAUUUUCGAUAAAAAAGUACCAAUUUAAAAAAACAUUUUAUCUUUAAUGAUAAGUAAGUUUUCUUUGACUUUUUUCUUUUUCUUGAAAGACAAAGACAAUAGUAUUCCAUAAAAAAGGAUAUGUGUUAAUUAAAUUAUUUGAAGGCAAGAAAUUAAGAUUAACAUCAAUAUUCGCUUCCAAAUUCUCACUAUUAUUUCUUUCUUUAAAUAAAGAAAAAAAUAAUAUUGUUUUUGAUCAUUCAUUUGAUUAAUUAAUCUGAAAUUGUCGUUGUAUUAGUAAAAUGAGUCGUAAUCACAAUAUGCAUGCGAUGUGUUUUCAUUGUACAAGUAAUUAUUGUAUAACUAAAGCAAAAAGAAAGUAAUUGCUACAUAACAUUAUUUUACUUAAAGGGAAACAUUUAAUUAAAAAAAAGUAAUCCCAAACUUAAAACAUUUUUUAAACAAAACGCUCCCCUUCUUAAACUAAAGUGAGAAUCAAUUAAGUAUGGUACAGCUUAUAGAUACAUUUAUGCCACCAGUAAUGCUUUGUUUCAGAAUUAUCUUUCCUUUUUAGAAACAAUAAAGAUGAAUUAUAUAUUAAAAAAGAGAGGGAUAAGAGUAUUCCUUUACAACCAGACAAAAAAGACCCACGACUACAUCAAAAACAGCCAAUGGGGCUUAAAAAUUUGGGUAGACCAGUACUUACCUUAGGUCCUGCCAAGUAGUAUUAAAAAGAAAAAAUUACAAAAGGUAAGAAAACCAUAACAAAAGGACCUGUACAUAAUCUUUUCCUAGAAGAAAGAUCCAAAAAAGGGUUCAAUUAAUAUCCCUUAAAAAAAAAAAAGCAGUAUAAACGAAGAAACAUCAAUGGUUCCCAUGAAAGUAGCAGCGAGCAUUAUGUUGCACAACAAAAGUAAAUAAAGCAGGGGACAGAACACCUCACACUAGGUUAAUAUUCUUUUCCGGGGCUAGCAUGCUGUCGUUGAUCCGAAACAAAUCUGAUAUCAAUCACUUUUUGUCUUUCUUAAUAUCAAUCACUUUUACAUAGAAUUUAAUUUUAAUUUUACAUUUGAAUUGUUGUGCUAGGUUAUGGUCGUAGAGGGGUCAACUUGAUGUAAGUUAAGCAACUUGGAUUUACGGCAUAAAACUCAACUAAAUUCCAACAAAGAUUAGUUCCUAACCCAUAUAGUAAAUUUGCAUAUCACCCACAUUAUAAACUAAUCAAUUACUGAAAACAUGAAAUUACCACUAGUACGUGCUUGCUAAAUCUCAUAAAUAAAUCAUCUUAAUAAGCAAUAAUUAUGUGUGCGAGGGCUAAUUAUUGUAGUUAACAUUCCAUGAAUUUUACCUCAAAAUUUGUGUUAAUAUUCUAGGUUGUGAUCAAGUCAUAUGUUCAAGUUUCUAACAUUUAAAUAGACUAGGAGUACUUCAUGAAUGAAGGGGUUUAAUUUGAAGUAAUAGCUUCAAGUAUGGAAUAAGAAAAACAAAGAUUAUGCUGUUUUUUUUUCCUUUUUUUUAAUAUUUUCUUGUCUUAGGUUGAUUUUAUGUCAACACUCUUAUUCACUAUUUGGUAAAUUUGGACACGUGUAUUUCUGCAGUAAUGUUUGUGAAAUGGUUUGGACAGCUAUUUAUUUCAGAUGUGCUGAGAGGUAGUUUAAUUAUUUUUGUUGACUGAGUUGUAUUUUCAAAGGUUGGGCGAACUUGUUAAAGAGUCCAACUGGACCUAUUUAUCCCCAAAAUUGAGCUUAAUUUUGGCAUAUGGCAUGUGGCAUGCCGCAUUGCCAAAGCUCUUCAAGGAAGAGCACAAGCAAAACCAGAGGCAAUGCGACGAGUAAAGGCCAGAUAAAUAAGAAGGCUAACCAUAAUUUAACCAAAAACAAAAAUGAAAAAAGAAAGAAAGAAAGAUAGUACACAUCAUGUCAUCACUCAUCAAUUAGACAUCCCAUCGUCACCAACCCAGGGUCCUUGGUCAACUUCAUCCACAUACGUUGUCCAGUAAAAAUCACUCAAGUGUCUCGCAUUGCUCGAAAAGGACAAAAAGACUGCCACGUGCUACCUUACGGGCAAUUGCUACUAGAGUUCUCCACCGCCCGCUUGGUGUCGCCUGUACAGCCACAACCACAGCCACCACCAUUUGCAUUUCUCCUGAUUCAGAAUUCUUAUCACAUUACUACUGUUGGAAAAGUGUUUGACAAACAACUUUCACCUGGUAAGUUGGACUCACUAUAACCUUUAUUAUGAAAUAUUUUAUACGCAUCGCUUUUGGAUUACAAAGCAUUACAAGGACGAAUUAUAAAGCAUUUUAAUUCUCAUGGUUUUUUUUUUUUUAAAGAGUGAUUUUGGGUUCAACUUUAAGAAAUUGUCUGCCACUUGUUCAUUGUUACAAAACAGGGUCGGAAGAGAAGCAGCUUCAACAUCAUCCACUUGUUCAGUCAACCAAUAAUUAGCUGCUGUUUUCAUUAACCAAUUUACAUUUGAGAAACAACAAAAACAAUGGCAAAAGCACUUCUUUCCAUGAUCCUGGAGCAGCAGUUGGGUGGUUCGUUCAUUCCUCAAGAGAUAAAGCAUCAUGUCGGAUUGGCUGUAGGUCUUGAAGAAGAAAUCCAAAAACUCACCAGCAACUUUGACGCCAUUCAAGCUGUGCUUGAAGAUGCGAAAGGAUAAACCAAACAGGGCAUGCCUAACCCAAGGCGCGGAGGAUAAGGUAUACCGAUGUGGAUGCGGCCCAUAUCCUAAGCUGUUUCCCCACAGACCCCCCAACAGUGUCCCAUAACUCUAAUCCUACAUCCACCACGGAAGAAUAACAAGACUCCCAAGGAGCGGAGGACGGCAAUGGAGGCAGCUGGCUCCGAUUCCGAUGGCAGAGAAUUCAGGAACCCACAGGAAAUGUGGAGGGAGCAAAUUGGAGAUGCAGAUGAAGGAGAUAACCAUAAGAAGACUCAGUGGUACAGUGAAGGCGUUGCCUACUGGGAAGUAAGUCUUUCUUAACUCUGGUUCUUACAUUUGUAUGUGGGUACC